rnacentral:lncRNA from 1 species
AGCUGAGGUCUUUUGCUGCUUGACUGGCAAAACAUUCUUAAUAUGCUCUUUACAGUGUGGGUACCAUUGGAUUUAAUUUCUUUUCCUGUCUAAGGUUGGUUUAGCUUUAUUUCUUGCUGUUGCCUCUUCUGGAGCACGAUUAUUUAUUUGCCUAUUAUUUAAUUUUCUCAUCAUUUUUGUGGCCAAUAUUGGACAUUCAUGUGAAAUAAUUGAUUAUAUUUCAACUAUAGAUUUUGUGUUUCCAUAUUUCGUGUAGUAGAAUUUUGUUGAUGUUUGUGCACCUUAAUAUCUUUGUAUUUUGGUUGAGAAAAUUGUUCAUUUGUAGAGUAAAUCGUUCGUUCCUUUUCUAAUCAGUUUUAUGCAUUGACAGGCGUUUGGUCAUCAUGUCAGGCUGGCAACUCAUUCUAACUUCCGUGAUUUUGUCAAAUCAGGAGGCAUAGACUACUACCCAUUGGGUGGUGAUCCUCGGGUAUUGGCAGGAUGUAAGAGGUCUUUGGCAUGCUUCUUCGUUUUUCUCGUUCUUGUUUUUGUCUAUGUUAUGAGUACUCUGCUAUGGGUAUGUAUUAGCCCUUUCUUUCUGGGUGGGUAAGUAUCUGGUAUGAGUAAACAUAGUUUUCUGCAAUUUUGGGGUGUGCUUCAAAGAAUCCACAUAAAGUUCUCACAUGUGUUCCACACACGCCCUCCCCCCACAUCCCUUGCACGCCCAAGACUAGACGAAGCAUGGAUAUCAUAACAUAGUGCCCUACAUUAGGUAACACAAUAAUGAUGAUGGGAGUGGCUCUAAUUAGUGUUAUCAAAAGCAAAAAGCGCAAAAAAUCUCUAAGAUCUGUUGGGCAUUUAAGCGCAACUAACGUGUGGGCUUUAAUGAAAAAAAGAGCAAAGGGAGAAAAAAUGCAAAGCUAUGUUUAGUCCAAGAUUAAUAAUUAUAAGCACGAAGGAAUGACAAAUAUAUGAAGAAAGAAACUGAAAAAAAUAAUAUGAUAAAGUAAAAUAUCAAUUUUUUAGUGCCGCCUCUUCUAAAGAGGCUCAUUGGCAAGAAAAUGUAUGUCAUAUAACCUUGACGAGGAAACAAAAUCGCACCUUAAAUAAGUCGAAACACUUUUUGAGCCUCGCAUCAGGGCGCCUUUGACAACUCUGGCGCUAAUACCAAGCUAAGAAGAUGGGUUUAGGCCUAAGUCAAUCUCAAAAGUUGGUUCAUGCGGUAAGGGUUGCCCAAAUCACUAGGAGACUAUAGCCACACUUUCAACCAAUGGUGAACACUAACAUAAUCCUAUGAGCAAUCGUGGUAAUAUCAAGCUUCUACUUUUUUCCUUUUAGUUAACUUACGCACAGUUUGAAAAUUUUUCUUAAAUUUUUGGGAAGUUUUCAACAUACUUAACAGUCAAAUUUGUACUGGAAUCUAGUAUGAAAUAAGUGGCUCAUCACAUACCUGUUCAAGUAGUAAUAUGGAAUUCCUGUUUGCUGAUAUCAUUUAAUAUGGAUUAAGUUCGUAUGUUCUGUGGAAUUGCAGAUAUGGCCAGGAACAAAGGUCUCAUUCCUUCUGGACCAGGAGAGAUAUCUGUACAACGAAAGCAGCUAAAGGCUAUAAUUGAAUCUCUUCUUCCGGCUUGCACUGAGCCAGAUAUUGAAACUGGUGAACCUUUCAGAGCACAAGCGAUUAUUGCAAAUCCUCCUGCUUAUGGUGAGUUCGAAAAUAAUCUCUAUACUCACCACUCAUUUCACCUUUUUGAUAUCUGGACAUCUAAUUCAUGUUUGGUCCAUGAUUUAUAAUAUCACAUGGAGUUGUACAUCACUGCUAGUUCUCCAAAAGAUACAUUUCUGUCUUCUCUUGUUUUUCUUUUUGGGGUGGGGGUGGCGGGUGGUGGUGGUCAUAUUUUGCCAUCAUAGAGAACAUAUGUUUGACUAAAUUAGAAAGAUAUAUGUGAGAUACUAUAAGUAGAGGAGCUACUAUAUUCUGAGAUGGUCUCUUAGUCGCAUUGUGGAAUUUAUCUUAGAAAGGAUUAACAUGAAGUCAACAAAUAUGAAUUAAAUGAACAUAUUAGUGUGUAUGAAGUGAGGAUGGGUCACUAUGACCUCCGGACACAAGAAUCUCAAAGAUAACCUUGAAAUCAUACUCAGGUUAGAAUCGUUUGAAAUGUCUUUGGCCAAAUAACUCUGUUUAUUUACUAUGAGUUUAAUCUCAUUUGACUCUUCUAAUGUGGAGACCAGAAGCUAUCUAGUUUUGACCUUGGGAGGAGUUAAGUCUGAAAAGUUACUCCACCGCCUUAGCUGGGUUUGACUGUUCAUAUGUUACAUAUUUAAUCUCACACUAUCUUCACAGUGCUCCUCUGCUUCUUUUCAAUUAGAGUAGACCUAUGUCAAGAAGUUGAGUUAUUAGCCUAUAAAGAAAUCCACCUGAUUGUAUUUUCUGUAUCAAAUUCACGAGCAGUGUUAAUCUGCUUCGAAUAAGUACAAGCCCUUCCAAACUGAAAAACUUAUUUUGGGAGGUCAUUAGCUGAAUCUAUGGAGGUGUGUAUUCUGCACAGCUUUGGCAAGUUGCAAACCGGUUUGGGUUUACUAAACAAAGAGCUUAGAAGGAAGAAGACUUAAUCUUGAGCUUGUGCUCUGUAAAUAAAUGUCGAAUAAAAUAUAAACUGCUUUAUAUGGUUUUCCUCAAUGGUCCCCAAAACAAUAUUCAUUUUUAUGCUUUCCGGGACUUUAUAGACUCCUUGUAUCAUAGAUAAUUCUAGUCCAUCAAUUGUACAGAUAUCAGCAACCUCUUGCUGCUAUUUUUGUUAACAACAUUUAUCAGGAUUAGUCAACACAACAGGAUGCGAUUUAGUCCAAGUCAACUUAUAAGCAUUGUUUUAUUUUUUUGGACAGGACAUGCACACGUUGCUGAAGCUCUUGGGGUACCCCUCCACAUCUUCUUCACAAUGCCCUGGACGUAAGCUCUGAUUGACACUUUAACUUUAUUUUAUUGGAUAUUUCGUAUUAACAAUAUGACAAGUGGAUGCACCUGCAAUUGCUGUCUUUGUCAAUAUGCGACCUUGUAAAGUCCAUUCCUCUUAUAAAACAUUGAUGAAACAAAAUACUGCUAUCUGAUUUCUAUUUUCUUUUCUACAAAAGUUUCCUCUUUGAGAAAAGCCAAUUUGUAAUAGGUGGUUGUUCUUCACUAUGUGAAUGUUUUUUAGAUUUGAUAUUGACUAGACCAUUAUAAGGUGGCAUUUGAUACCUUACUCGGCCUUGUGGUUAAGAUCAAGUGUAGUUUCUGUUCUCACCAGCUUUAACAUCUGAUACAUGGACACUGGCCCACAUUAUAUCAACCAUUGGCGUUUCAUUUAAAAAAUUGAGAAACAGUUUUUGCAAAAUUCUUCUAGUUACAACAACCAUACGAAAGAAACGUAUGAGUUUUGCUACUUUAUUUAGAUGGAGUUUUGGUUGAAACACAAUUUUUGAAAUUCCUCAAACUUUUCUUAGGUGGAGCUGCAUCGGACACAAUUUUUGCUGAAACUUGAAAAACUUUUUGCAGAAACUGCUAUUUAAUAUUUCAAUUGAACGCCUUAGUCUGUGACAUACAAAGAUUAGAUGCAAGUGCCCAAUUUCUGGAGUAGUUGGUUCUUCUGAAUUAGGAAGUUUUAUAGAUCAAUUGGAAGAACUAUUAUGCACAUAGGAUAUUAUGCGAGUCAGUUGCUGAGUUCAGUGUCAUUCUUCAUUAAAUUCUCCCAUUUAAUAUUUUCAACAAGGUACCUUCUCAUAGACUUUGUUAAUAGACAGGCCAACUUCUGAAUUUCCUCACCCGAUGGCUCGUGUACCUCAACCUGCUGCGUAUUGGGUAUGUUAUCAGUUUCUUCUUUUGAAAAAUAUUUUUCCAGUAAUUCUUCUGAUUCCUGUUAAAACUCUAUUUGUCUUCUGCACAUUUCAGCUUUCCUACAUACUCGUGGAUUUACUUGUCUGGUGGGGCAUAAGAGGCUACAUCAACGAUUUUAGGAAAAAGAAGUUAAACCUUCCUCCUAUCGCCUACUUCAGUACAUACCACGGAUCAAUUUCUCACUUCCCAACUGGCUACAUGUGGAGUCCACAUGUUGUGCCAAAGCCUAAAGGUAUAUGUCAGCUCCUCAAUGGUAUCUGGAUGCUUGUUUUCGUCGUAUUGGUCAUUCCACUUCUUUUGUUGAAGCAAAACUAAUGAUUUGUAAAUCUCAAAAUGAACGGAUCAGUUUCUUGUGGAGUAUUUCUGUGCUAGUCUCUCUUUCUUCAUUCCCAUUAAUCCCCUUCCCCAUCCCUGAAUUCAUGUAAAGAUCUUUUCUUCUUUUUCUAGCUCUACUUCACCCAUUGGCUUAGUAAUGAUGUGUGCUCAUACAAUCAGUCCACUUGAUCUAUCAUAAAAAUAUUGAAGCAUUCGUUUUUUGCAGAUUGGGGCUCUUUGGUUGAUAUUGUUGGCUAUUGUUUCUUAAACCUUGGGAGAAACUACCAACCUCCUGAAGAAUUUAUCAAGUGGAUCCAAAAUGGGCCUAAACCUGUAUAUAUUGGGUUUGGGAGCAUGGUAAGGUUUUCUAAUAUAAACUCCCAGAAGUCUUAGAAGUAUCAGAUGAUCCUUUAUCCCACUCAGCCACUCUUGCAAGAUAUAUCGAGUCUGAUGUCUUAUAAUUUAAAAGCAACUUAUGACUAGGUUUACUACUGUAGGUGGAAUUCUUAGUUUACUACCGACAGUCUAGUGACAGUAUCCGUUUCUGAAUGAUUUAAUUCGUACUUGAUAAACUUGCAAUAGUGGAUGUAAACCAGCUUCAAUCAAUCUAACUGCAUUUUCGUCUCACACAAUUUUAAUUGUUAAAUAGAUCUCUAAGGUGCCUGUGCUCAAGAUCUUAGCAGUCUGAUCUAGAAUAAUCACUUUGGUCUCCUACUUCACUUUUGUUUUUGAAGAUAUCCAACUUGUUCAUUCCUUUUGUUCUUUUUUUUAGCCUCUUGAAGAUACCAUUAAAACUACAGAUAUAAUUUUGGAGGCACUAAGGAAUACUGGGCAGAGGGGAAUUCUUGACCGAGGUUGGGGAGAUCUUGGUACUUGUAAGUUCUCUCAUGAUUUGCAUUUCUUUUUUCAACUUAUUACAUUCUGCAUGUUUCUGACUGACCAUAAAAUUGAUCAUAUAUAGGUUGCAAAAUAAAGCUAAUUUUUUUGAAGAAACAAAAAGAUAUAGGCACAACUCUCGUAAUUUAUUGCAUAUAGCAUAUUGAAGCUCUAGUGCUCUACUGUGCGUUCACUGGAAGGGUUAAGACCUGGAUGAACCUCAAAAACACCACAAGAAGAACCUUGGAGGGGAUGGUUUAUUAAAUAAAAUUCUCUUUUAAGUUAUUUAGCUGACAUAAUAAGUCUCCCCCUUUGACCUUCCUCUAACCCCGAACAUACAACCGAAAAACCAGUUUCCAAGGCCAAUUACUUGCUUGACAAAAUAUGAGGCCUAUGAUGGUGGUAUGGAGUUGGGGUUACAACAACAUAAACAUUAAGUGGAUAGAUCAAGAGAACAGUUUGUUUGUCAUUAUAUUACUGGAUGGACGCCACAUACACAAGUGCACUUAUGUAGUAUUGGUAAAUAAUGUGGAUAUUUCCGUUCAUUUGUGAUUGGAUUGCAUGUGAGAAUAUUCUAACACCAAGAAACAUCUUUUCUUGUUUUUUUACCUCUUAUUCUGUACCAGUUCAAGAGAUUCCUGAAGAUGUUUUUCUUGUUGCGGAGUACCCUCAUGAUUGGCUUUUUCCUCAAUGCGCAGCUGUUGUGAGUACUAUUGCUUUACAAAUUACUCCUACCUACUCAUGUUAUAUAUCUUUUGAAUGCUUUUCUGGAUAGCAAACUGGGAGAUGGGAUCGGUUCUGAUAAACUGAUGGUCAAUGGUUGGUUAUUAGGGAUUUUACAAACUCUAGUAUAACUGACCUUCUAAACUCCAAUCUUCUCGAUAUCUGGAUAUUGAAAAAUAUUUAUUUUCUGAUGUGCUCGUGGGAAAUACCUGCUUGCAGGUUCAUCACGGUGGUGCUGGAACCACAGCUGCGGGACUGCGUGCUGGGGUAAUGUUCUUUCUCAAUCUCAUAUCAGUAGUAUUAUUCUAAAGCAAUCAUCUUUUGCUGGAUCUUUUGCCCUUUGAGUCAUAUAGAAAGAUCAGAUGGUCUUAUGCAAUGUCUGCAAUUUUUUAAUCCAGUGUCCAACAACUAUAGUACCAUUCUUCGGUGAUCAAUUCUUCUGGGGCGAUAGAAUUCAUGAAAAGGGACUGGGACCUGCUCCAAUUCCUAUUGACAAGCUUAGUGUAGAAGGACUCUCUGAUGCUAUAACAUUUAUGCUUCAGCCUGAUGUAAGUGUCUAUGCAUCUCCCUACCUAAUGACAUACCAAUCUGUCACUGCAGAACACAAACGUGUUUUGGAAAUGCUCGUUAUAGACUUUGCUUGCUGAUGGAAACUUAACUUAUACAGGUGAAAUCCCGAGUAAUGGAACUAGCUGUAUUAUUAGAGAACGAAGAUGGUGUUGCAGGUGCAGUUGAUGCUUUCCAUCGGCAUUUGCCUUCAGAAAUGCCAUUGCCAACCCCAACCCCGGCUUAUGAGGAUAUCGAUGGUCCAAAUCCGUUACAAUGGCUUUUCACAAGGAUUGGAAGAAUCUGUUGCCUGCCUUGUGGUUCUUGGCUCUGAAACUGCAUUUAUAGAGUUGCAUAGUUGUGUUAUUUCAUAUUUUUUUUUGAUUAAUUGGUUGUAUUGGUUCAUCACAUCAUUCUUUCUUCUUGGCUUGUAAAAUAAGUUACAUGGCAAAACUUUAUAGACAUAUUUAUUGCUAUUAUUUUCAUAGUGAUUUUGUAACAACACCAAGCUCUUGUUCAUUUUAGUGUUCAAUGAUCGCUUUGCAGAGACAGAGGUGAUUAUUUUGUACUUGCGUAAAUUUACGUAAUUAUCUGUACUUUUAUCUAAAUACGUAAUUGCUUAUUUUAAGAAUUACUUUCCAUCCAGCCAUUAAGCCAAAAAAUCUUUUUUUUUUCAAACAGUCUCAACGUCCUCGUUGAGAGUCGCUCUGCGAGACGUCUAGUUACUCUCCUUAAUUACAUAAAAUCACAUAGAAAUUAAUAAAUAUGUUUAUUAGUAAAGAAAUAAACUUCAAGCAGAAAAUGCUUGAAUUUAAGGUGAAAUGGUUGAAGUAUAGAUAAAACUGACUGAAUUCAGUUAUAUAUGAUUGUGGUUCAGGCAAAAUAACUUAAAUUAAUAUGUACUUAAUAUUACAUAAAAAUAAAUGAACUUCAACUAUAUAAAACUUCAAAAAUAAAAUAAACUUGAAACUAUAUCAAAUUAGGUAGAUUUGAAAUAUGUAAUCACUACAAACAUUAUAUUCAUUGUAACCACCAUCCAAACAUAGCAUUAGAGUUUAGAGACAUCUUUUUUCGAUUAUUCAGCAAAAUAUCAUUUAUUUACUAACUCUGAUGAUAAUCUUAUAAUAUUUUGAUGAGAAAAGGGUUAAAACCUCAAUUUUAAUUUAUUAGUUGAAUAUAUCCCUGCCGUUAAAACAAACCCUCGCCGUUACCAAUUUUUCACCAUUUAUACCUCUCAAUUGACGGAAAUUUCCAAAUCAAUCAAAAUUGAUCCGAUUUUAUAAAAAUUAGGAAAAAUUAGCAAAUUAGUCAAAAAAUCUAACAUAAUUAGUAAAAACCUUUAUACUUUAUAAAAUUUAGUAAAAGUGUCAUUAUUUUAGAAAACAUUUCAUAUCCUAAUAAAUUAUAUUUAAUUAAUAAACUAAAGUUGAGAGGUAUUUUUGACCCUUUUUCCAAUUUUGAUUCUAUGUAAACUAAUAUUGUGAGGUGCAGCAUUAACUCCACAUUUGAAACAUUAGUCUCGAGGGCCUUUAUCUUUGGUCUCAAAUACUUGUUUUCCAUCAAUAAAAACUGUAACUUUGCCUCCAUCGUCUACGUCAUGAAUUAAACUAACAUUGUCGUAUAGAGCAGUAGCAAAAAUAUGUCCAUUAUAAUAAUAAAUAACUCAUCAUAAAUUCUCAAUAUUAUUGUUGUAAGGCUCAAUGAAUUUGUACAAUUGUUGCUCCUGAUGUCCCAUUUGGCACAACCCUCAAAUUUCCUAAUCAAGUAGAUUUGGAUAGAUUUUUUUUUAUCAAGAUUAUAUAUAAAUAUUUUAAAAAUAAUAAUGUACUAUAAAUAUAAAUAUGUGAAUUCGAAUUUUGGUGCGAUGCUGAGUAAGGGUAUUAGGAUCAUGAGGCUUGUCAUCCGCAUAAAUUCAGCCCACAGUCAAUGAGUUCCAUUAUCGAUACUAUAACAUUUUUCAAGUGGAAUAUCAUAUGAUAUUGGGUUUUUACUAGGUGUCUGAUAUUCGUAUUAGAGUUCGACUUAUUUUAAAUUUAUAUCGAAAAGUCUCAUAUUGAGAGAUAAAGAGCUCUCAAACAAGUGACUAUAUAUGUAUCUAGUUAAGAAUGAAAGACUCCAUCAUAACCCUUGUUGGUCCAAAUGUUAUAUUCAAUAAAACUAUAUAUGUAGUACGAUAUAUUGGUAUCCAUUAUUCUUGAAAUAUUGGAUAAGUGUCAUAAAUAAAGUACACAUAUUUAAAAAAAUAAAUAGAAAUUUAUAAUCUAAUAGGCAAAUAUUAUGAGAGGUCUUAUACUUAGUAAAUUCACAAAUCGAAAGUUCUGUAAUGCCAGUUAUUCUAUCUGUUUUUCAUUUUAAAUGGAUUAUAGUUAUUUUUUCACAUUUUGAACUUUUUGUGUAUAGUUAAUAAUCAAAUCAAAACCAAAGUGAAAUAAAUAACAACCAAACCAAUACAUAUAUAUUAUAUUUAAUUUAAUUUAAUUUUAAUAAUUUUAAAACCGAUUAAAUUGGUUUGAAUCAAAUCAAACUUGUGAACACCCCAUACUCCCAAUUAAUUUCUUUCUUUCAUCUUUUUAUUUUUUUCUUUUUAAUAAUAGAAAAAAGAGUGUUUCGUUUUAUAGCUCUCAUUUACAUCCACAAUAUACUUCUUUCAUACAUCAAACUGAAAAUCAACUUGAUCAAUUUUUGAAAUUUAAUUAGAUUAUAUUAAUUUGAUAUUUAAAAUAAUAUUUAAAUAUUUAAAAUUAUGCUAAAAAUUAUCCUACAGUACUUUUUUUUUUAAUAUAUCAAAUGAAUUUUAAACAAUUAAAAUUUAUUUUAUUAGACUCUAAAACUAUAUGACAACUAAUAAGAAACGGAUAUAAUUACUCACCUAUUUUGGUUUUCAUGUUAAUACAUAUACUCCACCAUAAAUAUACUCUGAAAAUCUUUUUUUUUUUUUUUUGAAAUCUUUAAUUUAAUAAUGCAAGGAAAAGGAAAAGGAAAUUGAGAAAGCUAAUCAAACUUGUUACGGUCAAGUCGAGAAUCCUAGUACUUCACUAGCACCGACCGACCAAAAAGAUAAAAUGAAGCGGUCGCCGGCGAUCUUGAAAAACCGGCGAGGAGGUGGUUUGGGAUUUGCUGCAAUUGCUUACAUCGGAGUAGACUAUCUCCGGUUUAUUUCUCCGGCAUGGCAUGACCGGUUACAGCCGACGCUAUGGACCAUAUUGGCGAUCGCUGCUAUUAUUCGGGUUCCAUUUUACAAACACUGGUCAUCAGAGCUCCGUUCAGCUAUACCAUUUAUUUUCGCUAUGCUUUUUUUGCUCUCUGCUCUUCUUUUUGAAGCCAUUUCUGUCCGCUCUGUCACUGCCGUUCUUGGUCUUGAAUGGAACAGGUAUGUAUAUGCUUUAAAGUAGUGCUCUUUUUUAAUUCAUAAUUUUAUUGAUUUGUUUCAAUUUUUUGAAGUUUUGGCAAAUUUGUGUAUAUUGGGAAAUAUGGGUUUCAGAUUUGGAUGGGAAAACUGACUUGGGGUUGAGUGCAUUUUUGAGCUUGUUAAUGAUAAGUUUGAGUUUGUAUUGUGAAGAAUGGAAAUGAUAAUUUCUUGUUUGCAUCCCAAAUCUGAUCUAAUUUGUGGUUUUCUCAAUUGCUCUAUAGAUUUUGUUACAUUGUAAAAUCUAAGCAGAGUUAGAUGCAGAAAUUGGAUGAACUAUUAGAGAGAAUUUGGAGCUACAUCAUUUUUACUCUGAAUGAUCAGAAAUUGUUAUUGAGUUACCUUCAAAAUCACACAUACAUACUUUUGAAUUUUUUCAUUGAAGAUUGCAUAUAUCCAUUUAUGGGAAAAACACAAGGUUUGGAUUUCUAUACUGGGAUUAAUUAAAGCUGAUAGAUCAGACCAAAAAAAUUGGUAUAGGUCAAUCUCACUUAUCCUGGAGACAGAAUUAAGAGGGAUGCAUUUUUCUAUAUGCUUCGGUUUGCUUAAGUUAUGUUGCUCCGACUCUCCAAAAUGCUGCCGCACCCAUGACUGAUCUUCCAUAAAUGCACUACGUUUGGAGGAUCCAACAUGCAUCUCGACAACAAUUUUGUGCAGUACAUUGGUAUGGGUAAUCCUUUGUUAGAUUUCAAAAGUAAUGAAAAUCUUAAGUGGAUUAGUUUGUGCUCUUGGUAUGUCUUGUGUCUGUGAAUAAUGGUAUUUUGCGUAUAAUUCUUUCUUGUGAUUAAUUAAAUUCUGUACGUGAUGCUCAUCAUAAAUUAAAUCCUCACAUUCUUCUGCCAAGUGAUCCAAAUAAGACUGGGAUCAUGGCACUGUUGCUUUUUAGAUACAUCUUUUGGAAAUGACAAAGCAUACGUUGUUUAAGUUUUUACCAUGUCACCAGAUUGUUAGAAUUGGGGAAUGGGCGACUUUUUGGAUUUUUUAAAUUGGGGACUUCUCUGACUGAAUUCAAGAUGAGUAGACAGAGCUUGGAAACUAAUAGAGGAAGUGGAGGAAAACCGGGAAGGUAUAAGGCUUAGGAAAUCGAGGAUGGGAACUUCUUUGAGAAUUUUGAUAAAGAAGAGGGAGUUUGGAAACCGAGGAGGCAAAGAGACAACUGUGUAAGGAUGAAGAUGUCAGGUGAUAAAAAAAGGGAUCUUUUUGAGCUUUUUCCAAAGCUUCUGUACUGAGACACUUUCAAGCAAAAUAAAAACAGAUAGCUAGUAAAGUCAUAACUAAAAGAGAGAACUAAUUGUGCUGUAUUUGAAAUCAUAUAUUAACCUGUGUUGCAUGUCUUGGUUAGCUUGGAUUGGUUAGGUGUGAUCUGUCUUGGGAUUCUAGAUAUGCUAACGUCAUCUAGAUGUGUAAGGAUACAUGGUCUAGAUUCUAGUGAGAUACAAUACAACAAUGUCUUUUAAUAGCAGAAUUUCACAAAGAUGCUGAAUUGAUAGUUCUAAAAUGCUGUCUAAGGCGAGUAAUAUAAAGGAAAAUCUGGCUUGCAUCAUCACAAUUAACAAACUUUGCCUCCAGUAUCACCACUAUUAGAAGUUAAACAGUUUGACAUUGAUUUCCUUUCCUGUUCUUGUUUUUGAGAAAUAUGUCUAUCGUUGAAGCACAAUGUGAAGUGGUGAAAGGCUUCUUGAAGCAUGGAUAAAUUUCAUUUUUUUUAAAAAAAAAGUCUUACGGAUAUCUGUAGACACGAUCAGAAUGCCCUAAAGUGGUUAUGUUAUCAAUCAUGGCACGCAACCUUGUUUUGCCUCCUAGAAGAUUGAAAGUUUAGACGCAUACUUGGUCCCAAUUUACAAUGUUUGGCUUGUGUCCAGAAAAAUAAAUUAACAAUUGAGUCUUUUUCCUUUUGUAAGCAAAAAUAGCAAUUAUAACUUUGCUUCAUUAUGUUUGAUCUCUCUUCUUUCUUAAAUGACCAUCUAUAGUCUUUACAAGUUCUUCUCUUUGCAAUUUAUUGACAGUGAUGCAUCACCUCUUCCUGAUGUUGGUCAGUGGUUGGUGCUGUCAUUGAAUGAGAAACUACCUCAAACAGUGGUUAAUAUAUUGAGAGCUCGUAUAAUUGGAUUACAUCAUUUUCUGAUGCUGUUUAUCAUGCUUGCUUUCUCUGUACUCUUUGAAUCGGUUGAAGCUCCUGGUCUUGGGCUUGGUGCAAGAUUCAUGUUCACAAUGGGAAUCGGAAGGCUACUUCGGGCCAUAACUUUUAUCUCCACAAUUCUACCAUCUGCUCGACCAUGGUGUGCAUCUGCUAGAUUCCUUGUUCCUCAGCACCCUCAUCCUUGGGCUCAGAAAUAUUAUGUACCAUAUGCCACAGAUUCAAAUGCCAUACGGAACGUCAUAAACUGGGACACAGCAUAUGGUAUUUCUCCCUUCUGAUCUUCUCUUCUGUCCUGAAAUUCUUACUUGGUUCUUCUUUAUGAACUGCCAGUCAGAAUGAUCCAAAAUUGAAAAAGCUCUAUACAUUUGUUCAAUAAGAAAUGCUGCCUGCGAUCAGGAAAUCUCAUAAAGCCAGUUUCUUUUAGGUCUUUGAUGCUGUUGGUUGAAUUCUGUACAUAGUAUUGAUCUUUCAUUUCUGUCUCUACUUUCGCUUUCAGCUGAUCCUGGGGAAUACGAUCCGGAGUUUCGACCAGAUUGGGGUUCAAUGAGCUUUCUGAUUGAUUUCCUUCGGCCUACAGCUCCUGAGGGAUCAUCUGCUUGGUAUCAUCUGCUAAAGAAAGCGUCAGGGGGUUGCAAUGACCUUAUAUAUAGUGGCCACAUGCUUGUUGCCGUGCUGACAGCUAUGGCAUGGACGGUAUGCGUCUAUCAUUCCCUAAAUUUGAAGUCUAAAUUCCUGUGUCCAACCAAUCUCAUCUGGCUUAAAACUUGAUAAACAUAUGUAGGAAGCCUAUGGUGGCUAUAGCUCAGCACUCAUCUGGAUUUUUGUGAUUCAUAGCGCUCAAAGAGAAAUACGAGAACGCCAUCAUUACAGUGUAGAUGUCGUUGUGGCCAUCUAUGUGGGAAUAAUGCUCUGGAAAAUGACAGGUCUUUUUUGGCCAAUGAAGGAUCGGUCAAAGGCUACGAGGCUUCGUAGGCUCGAGAAGAUUCAGGGUAGGCUAAUGCGAGCAGCAAAGGACGAUGAUAUAGAGCGAAUACGUGAACUUCUUAAGGAGGUAGAAGUGAGCAGCCAUGUUAGGGAAAACUCCAGUAGCAAAGCAAUGUGGCUCUUUUCAGGUGGAACCAUUAUCUUUACUCUUUGUAUGGUUCUUCUUGCCUUCACAUUGACCAGCGACGGGUGAGACAGCCAAUUUUCAACUCCAACAAAAUGCUCUACAACAGGUAAGAUGAUUACGAGACGCAGAAUUUGUAACAUUAGGCUAGGCCAGAAUAGGCAUUCAACUGGAGUUUUUGUUGUUUGUAUGUAAUGCUUUGGCUUCAAUUUUCUCUCCUGGUGGAGUGGUAUUUACUGUUAUAUAUGAAGAGAAAAAUGACUAUUUAUUGAAUGCCUUUUGUUUACUAAAAUUGUUUACUCGAAGGCCCUUUUAUGCUUUUUACCUCUGUGAUCUAGUAAAAACUUCCCUUUCAAGUUUCAAGUAUAAUUUUGAUGGACUCGCUUUACCCCUUUUUGAGUGACUGCAGGGUGCGGGGGGUCUUGACGGAGAGAGCCGAGGAUUUUUCAGAAACAAUCUCUCUACCCUUAAGGUUUGCAACCCUAUCUUUGGAUCCCAAAAUCUUCAUACUGGGUGUAGAAACAAUUUAAACGUGUUUAGUCGAAAAUGUUGAAUUAGUUUCAGUGUAGUACUCUAUAUUACAACUUGAUCAUCACAAAUAAAUCCAUUUACAGAAUUGCUAUUAAAUUUGACUCACGUGUUGCCAAUUCAGCUUUUGCACUUAAUCUAUUAAUCACAUUUUCGAAGAUCAAGUUUGUACGUUAAUACAAAAAAACUAUUUACAAAUGGAGAGAUCCACUCACUUUUGUCUUCUUCGUAUUAGUUGGAUCUGCUCAUGAAAAUAUGAGUAACACUCAACUUCUUUUAAUCAUGAAACAAUAACUGUUUUAAUCCAUUUAAAUUCAAUUCAAUUCAAACUCCGACUCACUAAUAAUGGAUUAAUGUAAUGUGUAACAAAAGCAAAGAAGCCGUGCAAGAGACUUUUGCAAUUAAAAAUCGUAAACAAAGCUUCAAAGGCACGAUUUAGUUGCCUUAUUGUACAACCCACCGCAUCUAAUCCAAACUUUUUUCUUAUUUCUUCAAUCUUCUUCGCACUCCUUCAAACGCAUAAUCUUCCAACUUUCUCGCGUUUUCUUCCUUCCAAAAAUGGCAUUUUCUAUAGCUGCUGCCGGAGCCGCUACCGGAGCCGGAGCUUUGGCUUCUCCAUCGGCGAAUGGCUCUUCUUCUACCAAGUUUUCUUACUUGGCUUCUUUGCAAUUUCCCAGAGAGCUUCGUCGUGUUCAAAUUGGGAACUAUGGGUUGAAGUCAAAGAAAGGGUCUUCACGUCUUGUUCCUCUGGUAUUUCAUUUCUUUUAACUCAAAUUCGAAAAGGGUGUUUUCUUUUUGGCUUCUAAAAUUAUUUUUGUUUAAUGUUGUAUGUAAAAUUUUCUUUGAUUUUAUCGUGUGGAGAGAUUUUCCUGCUGGAGUUUUGGCUUGUGGAGUUUGAUUUCUUAGAAUUUGGAGUAUUAAGAUGGAUUGACUUUGUGCUUGUUGUGAAUUACCCUUUCAUUUGACAAAAAAUUGCUUCAGUGACAUCUGUAUUGGGGGUUUUAUAUGCUACAUUUCUGUUUUGAAUGGCUAUUAAAUGUUAAAUGUGUAAUUUUAGGUGUAACUAUCAGUUUAUAUACGGAGUCGAGGCCUUGAGGUACUAAACAUAUCUGUAGUUUGUCUUUUUGCUGUUCCAUUUCUCUGGUUGAAUUCUUUUUUUUUUUUUUGAUUGGGGUGGGGGUGGAAGAGUCUUAUGUUGGUGAAGAGCAGAAGAGGGUGAAAUUGUAAUAGUUUUAGUAAAGAUGUGACCUGUUGUUUAUUCUCCUCUUUGAGUUGUUAUUUGCACUUAGUAUCAAACUAUUAGAUUAGAAAUCAAGAUUCUGUUUUACUUGAAUUUGUGUACAAGCCGUGAGGAUCCCUGCAGCAUUAGCAAAUAAAGGCAGAUAUUGCAAGACAUUCCUCCGUCUAUUUUGGUAUUCAGCUCAGGCUUUUGUUAUUUUAGAGUAACAGAUAGACUAAACCUGGCAUAAUCAAAAAAUUCUCUCUUGUGAAGUUUUGUAUAUGCAGAAGCCUGAAUGACAUGAUAACCAAGUCAUCCUUCUCAAUGAACCUUACACCCCCCCCCCCCCUCUCUUCACGGGCAUUGAAAAUGUGCUGUCUGACGCAUAUCCUCGCAACUUGAUAUGCAUAGACGAUGGGUAUAAUCGUCACUUCUGCUUAUUGGCUAGUCCUCAAAGUAUAAGUUUUGUUAAGUAUUAGGAAGAAACAACUCAUUGAUAAGCUAGUGCAAAGGGGAAAAUAUUAAUUACACCAUUUUCUAAAGGUGAACUUUGGUUAGAUGAAAUUUGAAUUUUCAAAAGAAAUGAGAGUAGAAUCAGAUUCACUGUAUAUUUGUAGAAGUUUUUCAGGUAUUUUCUGAUCCUCCAAAAAAAUAGAUGUUGUAUAAAUCAGGGAAGGGUGAAAUGAACUAUAUAUUUUUUUUGGAUACAAAUUAGUACACUUAUUUUGUGUGGAAAGUGAGAGAAGUGAGCGACUGUUUUGUUUCAUACAGGAGUUGAGAGAGUACUAUCUGACCAAGUAAAUAAUAAAUUACAGUAGAUGUAAACUGUCAGAGAACAAAAUAUACUUUUUUUUUCAUUUGCUAUAAUGUGAUGCAAGGUCGUUGUUGUUCAUUAGCAAUAUGCUCUUGGGGGACUUUAGACUUCUGCUUUUCUAUUUAUUCAGUGCCUUCUUGUUGAAUGCUUCAUUUUCUGUUACAACUAGAUGUUAUUUGUUUAGCAAUGUAAUCAGCUUGAGCUGCUGAAUUGCAUCAUCUUGAUUAAAUCCACUUUUGAUUUUAUCCCUCACUGACAUCAUUAUCUCAAAUCUGCUGACAUUUGCCCAUUAUGUACUCUUUGAAAAUAUCGCAUUCUAAGUUUUUGCUUUUAUAGAAAUGAUGGUCAUUGCUUAGAUUGAUUAAAUCGUAUCUGUAUAAUUAGGUUGAAGCAAAGAAGCAAACAUUUUCUUCCUUUGAAGAUAUGUUGGAGAACUCUGAGAAACCAUUAUUGGUCGACUUCUAUGCAACCUGGUACGCUGAACUCUCCUUGGCAGCCUUCAACCUUUAUUUACAUCAAAAGUAGAAGAAUUGCUAAGUGGAUAUAGCUAUCUGUCUCAAUCUUAAGUUCUUUGAAGUCGCAUGUGGGGUCAAAAGCUUCGCUACUGUUUCUAUUCAGAUAAUAAUGAGAGUAUUCUCAUAUUACAUGCAGGUGUGGUCCUUGCCAGUUCAUGGUUCCUAUUCUAAACGAAGUUGGUGAAUCGAUGAAAGAUAAAAUUCAAGUGGUGAAAAUUGAUACAGAGAAGUACCCAGCUCUCGCAGACAAGUACAAAAUACAGGCGUUGCCAACCUUCAUAUUGUUCAAGGAUGGAGACGUUUGUGAUCGCUUUGUAAGUGGAAUAGACCUUGUUAUUACUUGUUUUCAUGUUGUUUUUUCGAUAGUGUUCAUGCCAAAGCUACCAGAACAUCUUUUUGAAUGAUUUUGGUAGUAACUAGUAGGACGCUUUUAAAGUUACCAAGUAGAUAAAUUUCCUCUCUCAUUCAAACUUCUAUUACUUGUGAGUUUUGAGCAUAUUAUGCCUCUUUCCGUCUUGCAUUUGUACACCCCUAAAGCCAGAAGAAGUAGAAUAAAGAAAUGACCAAAUAGCUGAUUGAAAACGGUCAUGAAACAAAAAACUGCACGAGGUUGGGAUCUUUGGAAGUGUAUAUAGCUUUUAAGAUUUUAUUUGAGUGAGAAAAAUGCUAGUCAGUUCACUUUCUACUCUCGAGGUAAAGGUAAGGUCUUCCCCAAUCCCACUUUGAGGGACUAUACUGGAUAUAUGAGUAUAAGAAAACUGCAAGUCAAGCACAACAGUAACAAGACUUGAGUAGUCAAAAAGUGAAUACAUGAAAAAAUCAAAGGGGGUCCAACAUCAACUAAUAUACAUAAAAAACUAAUAUAAACAGUGUAACUUUUCGUCCUAGCUCCGCCCCUGGACUUGAGGGUUUGGUGGAUAUUUUUUUUUGUUGCAAAUUUUCUAGUUGAUUUAGUAUUUAGCUCAAGUGUAUCUUGUGUAAGUAACUGUUUCAAUGUCUUGUUUCAGGAGGGCGCACUCAAUGCUCCUCAAUUGAUGCAACGCAUAAAAUCUGCACUGGAAGUAAAGCAGUAGUCUUAGCGUGCUGCCUUUCUAGUGCUCGAAUCAUCGUUUUGAAGUUAUUCAUGUUUAAAUUUCAAUGAUCGUGUUCUGUGGAAGCCUUCAGUUUCUCGCUCCAUGUAUUUGCAAAGAAAAUUGAUUAGAUACAGGUGUACAAUGAUUAAUCAAUUUGCCCUAACUGCUCUAAUUUUUUUCUCCCUUAAAAUAUGAUUAAACUUUAAUUUUUUAACGGAAUGGCAAACUUUGAUCAACUGAUGUUCAAUGUAUUAAUAAUUCACCAGAUACAAAAAGCAUUUGCAUUGUCUGAAUAAAGUAGCAGAGACUUUUCUUUCUGAAAAUCAAACCAAUACGAAAAUGUCUGAGAACAAAUGGUGAUUUAAGAAAUCGAGCUUUAAAUAAAAUCUUAAAAGUUCAGAUAAUCAAUCAAUUUAGUUAAUAUACGUGCUCAUGUAUCCUUUUACCAUCCAAUACCAACAGAAAGCAAAAGGAAUAGCAGGUGAAAGAUGGAGAUGAGAGCAAAAGAAGCCAUAUCAAUAGGCCAAGACCUCACUCCUCCAAUCCCCCCGCUUUCACUUUGCCUCCACCAUUCUACACUUCUCUCUCACUGCUCUUCUUGCUUUUCUCCCCUCCCUCCUCCUCCUUCCCUUCACUAUCCUCCCUUCUUCUCCCCUAAAAAUCCCAAUUCAAAUCACUCCAUUCGCUACUGUUCCCUUCAAUGCUCUUCUCUCGACUCCCCUAUUCACUUCUCCUCUUCAGAAUUCCACUUCUUUCACCUCUUUCCUCAACCCCUUUACACCAAUUUCCCUACUUCCUCCGACCUUCGUCUCUCCCUCCGCCUCCUCCACCUCUUCCAAACGCUUCAUCUCAUCCAAGAAUCAAAUGGGUCUUUAUUAAAUUUGGAAAGAAUUGGUGGGUUGAUGACGAAUUUCAGGAAAGUAAUGUUCUUGGAAGAACACUGCAAUGAUAAUGAUCUUUCUGGAAGAAUUCGUGAUGGGGCAAAGGCUUUGGCAGCUUCUAGAAGAAUGCGUGUCGGUUUGGAGACCAACGGAGAGUAUACUGUGGAAGCUGCAGUGCUCUGUUUAGUGCUGACGAAUGCAGUGGAAGUGUACGAUAAAGAUGGGAGAAGUUUAGGGGUGGGUGUUUAUGAUGUACCAUUUUCAUGGGUCAAUCAUAGCUGCUCUCCUAAUGCUUCUUACAGGUUUUGUACAGCAUCAGAUUCAGGAGGGAUAUUGGAGAGUAGGAUAUGUCCAGCAGCUACGGAGACUGGUGCUGCUGGCAUUGGACAUGAAUCAAUUAGUAGUAAUACUGAACUUCAGAAAUCCAUGUCAGUUAUUGGUAAUGAACUACUGUAAUUUCUUUCCAAAGUUAUGAUUUUUUUGAUAAUCUUGAUGGAGAGCAAAUGUGAUUUUCUUUCUGCUUUCCAUUCGUUGUUUGGCGAUAGGUGGAAGUGAAGCAUGUGGUCCGAAGAUAAUCCUUAGAAGUAUAAAGGGCAUCCAAAGAAGUGAAGAAGUGUUGAUUUCAUACACUGACUUGUUACAGCCUAAGGUACAGUUGUUCUCAAUCUUUUGAAGGACAUGACACAAUUUUAUAUUAUCAAGGACAUCACUAUAGAUAGGAAAGAGUGGAUGUCGUGUAUUAGGGUAGAAGGCUAGUAGAAGAGAGUGUCGCCUUUCCUUGCAUAGGUUUAGUGCCUGUCAUAGGACUAGUUGUACCCUUGUAGUUCUUGUGGUAUGAUGUUUAUUGUAUUUUGAUGAUCACAUUAUUUUAGUUGUUGUUACUGUUUCUCUCUUGUAUACUCAACACUGCUUUUUUUUAUUAACCACUAUGCUUUGUCCAUUGUUUUCAUCUUCUUUUACUUGGUUUUUGAUGCACUUGAGCUGAGGGUCUUCCGUAAACAGGCUCUCUACCUCCACGAGGUAGCGGUAAGGUUUGAGUGCGCUCUACCCUCCCCUGACCCCGCUUUGUGGAAUUUCAUUGGGUAUGUUGUUGUUGUUGUGUUUCUUAUCAAAUGUUUCUUGAUGGAGAACCUUCUGAACUCAGGUAUGAACUAUGAAUCAAUUGCCAGUUAGAUACAUUUUGUAUGACUGAACAAAUGCUGGUUCCAAUGCCGAAUAAUUUCACUGUAACAUUAUCAAUUCGAUUUAUUUGAGUUGUUGCUUAGAUUGUUUACCAGAAUUGUUCUUCUUUUUCAAAUCCAGUAUAUAGGGAUGAUGACAGCUAAGUUCUACAAGUUAUUUUUAAUGAUGUUCUAUGUUAACCAUAUCAACUUUCAAAAGAAAAAAGAAACAGUUUUAAUAGUGACUUUACUUGUCUUCCAGGUGAUGAGGCAAUCAGAGUUGUGGUCGAAGUACAGGUUCAGUUGCUGCUGUAAACGAUGUAGAUCAAUGCCUAUGACUUAUAUGGAUCAUUGUCUGCAGGUAAAAUCAUAUGGUUUGAGAACAAUGGUUAGAAGGGUAUGCAUGUACUGUCGAACCGUAAUUGUAAUACCAUCAUUUUUGUCCAACAGUAAGCUCCUUCUUUAAAUGAUUCCAGUUUCACCUCUUUGAUUUUCCGUACCUUAUAAAUUUUAUGUUUGGUAAUUGCAGCAUAUCCUGUUAAUUCGAGUUGUAGAGGGUAAUCUGGAAAUUGGAGCAUUUUUCUUUUAUUAUGAUCUAUUUUUUGUGUAAUUGACCACUAAAUAGUUGUAAUUUGGAGGGUUCCUUUAUUCAUUACUUUGAUUUUGCUUCCAUUGUUUUGUUUUUUUGGGAUGAGUACUUUGCUGCCAUUGUUGUUUCAGCAUAUUUGUCUUUUAUUUUCCUCAAAUUUGGUCUGACAUCAAAUUGUGUGGCAAUCAGAAUGCACUUAGUAAAAGAAUUAGGCCACAGUUGAUACACGUAUGGAGGUUUGAUGAUCAUGGAGAUGAGAUGUGACAAUAAAUGUUUGUUUCAAAGAAACUAAGGUGUUCAAACUUGGUAAGUGCUCACCAAGGCAAAAAUAAAAAAGGAAAAGGACUAAGAGGUGAUUUCUGGUGCAACCCCAUCACAACUAGAAGUGCUCCGAAUCUCCUCCCACUGUCCUUACUCGGGUCUUGGCUCUAUUGUACAUGUCCUUAAUCCGAUUCCGACCUAGUGUAUGCCACAGGAACAGCUCUAGCCUCCAAGCAUCUUCAUAGAACCUCCCUCGGAACUUUGUCAUAUGUCUUUUCUAUGUCAAUGAAACAGCAUGUUUAUCAUCAAAAGCAAUAAGAAAUUAAAAAUAGCCCAAAAACAUCCAGGCUGGUGUUUAACAAUCUGCUAAGAAGUCUAGUUUAUAUAUUUUCUCUUGUAAUUUUCCAUAUUGUUUGUUUUCUUCCUUUAAAUCUCUGGGAGUUUUUUUCCUUUUAAGCCAAGUUCUGCUUUGAAGUUCGUAGUCAAGCAGAGUUGAAGAUCAUUGCUCUUCUUGUUUUUUCUCCUAAGAAUUAUGACAUAUCUAAGCCUUUAGGAUCAUUAACAUCUUUUGUGAAUUUUCUUGUGCAGGAAAUCUUAAUUUUAAAUCUCGAUAGUUCAAAUAUGGCUACUGGUGACAACUUCUAUGAGGAACAUGUAAUGGAGAAGCUGAUUGAUUGCUUGGAUGACGCUAUAGAUGACUUCCUGUCAUUUAAUAACCCCAAGAAUUGUUGUGAAAAACUCGAGAUCCUGCUUACUCAAGAUCAUGUUAACGUUCUUCUAAAGCCUGACGGAGAAAAAUUACAUCAACUCUUCAGAUUACAUCCUCUUCACCAUGUCUCUUUGCAUGCCAUCCUGACACUUGCUUCUGCAUACAAAGUCUCUGUAAGUGAACUGCUGGCCCUAGACCCCGAAGGCCAUGAACAUCAAACCAAAGCUUUUAGUCUUAGUAGAAAGAGUGCAGCAUAUUCCUUGUUGCUUGCAGGUGCCACCCAGCAUUUAUUAGAAUCCGAGUCUUCUCUCAUUGUGCCUGUAUCAAAUUUUUGGAUGACUGCUGGUGAGACUCUACUAAGUCUUGUCAGAAGCUCCACUUGGAACUUACUUUCAAUGGAAAGACACGUUGAGGAAUUUUCAUUUUCGUCGCAUCAAAUUUGUGGCAAAUGCACACUGCUUGAUAGGUUUAGAGAUAAAUUUGCCGAUUGUCAUGAUGAAAAUGCAGAGUUUGCUGAUGUAACUAGCCAAUUUUUGAGUUGUGUUACCGAUACAACAUCAAAAAUCUGGGAUUUCCUCACAAAGGAAGGUGGUUACUUGAAAGUAGUUGAAGAUCCCAUUAACUUUAGAUGGCUUGGGAGUAGGAUGCCAUCUUUUAGUCAGUUUGCAACUCAUGCAACAAGUCCUAGUGCAGACAAAACAGAUUCUGGAUUGGAAGCAGAAGAUAAUCACAACGAGAUACGGGUAAACUUGUUCCUGCUUGGUAUUCACUGCUUAAUCUAUGGAGCUUUUUUGUCAACUGUAUGUUUUGGUCCUAAUUCGCCACUCAUGUCUAAAGUUGAAAGUCUUCUUAGUGUCGAAGGUAUUCUGAACGGUUAACUUAAGCCAUUGGUUGCCUACAAAUCCCUAUUGUGUGAAAUGCCAAACCAUAUGUUACCUGUUUUGUGAUUUAGGUAAACGCAAGGAAAUUUUCAAACUAAACAUUUCACAGUUAUAACAUCCACCAGUCAAAACCUCACUUAGUUGGAAAUAUUUGUUUGAAAUUUCUAAACGCUCACACAAGUAUAUACACAUCCAGAUGAAAUCAAACUAUACUAUAUAAAAAUAUCAUAAUAAUUGAAGGUUCCACCUAAUAUAGAAAUCCCCAUCACAACAUUUUCUCAUCACUCACGCUGGCUAAUAUUUUUGGACAUUGUCUAUACAACUAUAAAUAAUGGACAUUUUGGAGAAGAAAAUAUCUGUGAAUUGACAUUAAUUUAAGAGAAGCAAUACAAUAUGGCUGAAGAGAAACACCAACACCAUCACCAUUUGUUCCACCACAAGAACAAGGAGGAUGAGGGUGGACCAGUUGAUUAUGAAAAAGAAGUGAAGCACCACAGCCAUCUCGAGAAGAUUGGUGAACUUGGUGCUGUUGCUGCUGGUGCUUUGGCCUUAGUAUGUAAAUAUAAUAACAUAUAUUCGAUAUUUUGUUUUUAUAUACGUUACAUUUGAUACAAGUCUUCUUUAAUUUCUUACGCCGUUUGUGGUUGAAUUAUUAAAUAUAUAGCAUGAGAAACACAAGGCAAAGAAGGACCCAGAGCAUGCACACAAGCACAAGAUAGAGGAAGAGAUUGCAGCUGUUGCUGCAGUUGGGGCAGGUGGAUUUGCAUUCCAUGAACAUCAUCAGAAAAAAGAUGCCAAGAAAGAAAAAAAGGAAGUUGAGGGUGGACACCACCACCACCACCACUACUAAUCAAAUUUAACUUUUUUAGGCACCUAUGGACUCUAUGUUUUGUCUAAUAUAAAUAAAUAAAAGAUACUACUAUAUAUGUGUUUUGUAUCCAAUAUUAAUCUCUCUCUAGAUUGUAUGAUUUGGUGUUUCUAUGUUAAUCUCACUAUGUAAUACUUUGAGCCCGUUUGGAUGGGCUUAAUAAAAGCAGCUUUAAAAAAGUACUUUUGAAAGUGCUGAAACUUAUUUUUAAAAUAAGUAGUUAUGCGUUUGGAUAAAAGUGUUGAAGUUAAAAAAAAAGUUGUUGAUGUAUUUGGCAAAUAAGUGCUGAUAAACAACUUUUUAAAUCAAAAUGUCUGAAAUACCAUCAAAAGCAGUUAACAUAAUAAAAGUUAAUUAAUUUAUAUUUUACAGCCAUAAAUAAUUAUAUUUUGCUAUCAUUCACAUAUUUCUUUCUCAUCACAAAUUAUUUAUAAAAGGAAUAUAAACUUAUUAUAGAUUUUAAAGAUAUAUAAUUUGAAUAGAUCAAAGAACGAUUUAAGAUUUAAUUUAGUUUCAUCCAUAGGUAAUAAUAAUUGUUUAUCAUUCACAUAUUUCUUUAUUAUCACAAAUUAUUUAUAAGAGGAAUAUAAAUUUUUAUUUUUCAAGAUAUUAUCGACAUCAAUCGAGAGAAAAGGAAGAAAGCUAAUAAAAAAUAAUCGAAAAAACUUACUUCAAGGUUUAUCUUUACUUCAAAUUGGAAGAACAGGAAGAAGUUCAGCAGCUAUGCCAAAUGUGAAGGGGAAAAUGGAAGAAAGAGAAGUUAGGGUUAUGUGAGUUAUUUGGAGAUUGUAUAAAAAUAUUAAGGGCAAAAAGGUAAAAAUGUGGUCAACUUAAAACAGCUUAUAAGCUAAAAAAAAAAACACCUUUACCCCAGCUUUUAACUUUUGACUUAAAAUAAGUUUUUUUAAACUUAAAAUAAGUUAUUUUGAGUAUUGUCAAACAACUAAAUAAGUCAAAAACCAGCUUUUAAGUCAGUUUGACCAGCUUUUAAGCUGAGCCAAACAGGCUCUUUGUCUAUGGAUUAAUUUGCUUUUUGAGUGUUAUUUUUUAUAUUUUGAUCGAUGUAUAAUUUUAUUACGAUAUUAUUUUUCCCAUUAUUUUGUUAUUAUUUGUUGAUUCUUACAUGUACUUCCAUUACUAUUUAUUGUUUUUUUUAUUGAAUCUAGGUCUAUUAUAUCAAUAUCUUUACCUUUGAGAUGUAGAUACAAAUACAAUCGGCAAACAUUUUACUUUCUUCAAAUCUUACUUUGUUGGAUUAUAUUAAAUAUAUUAUUAUUAUUAAUUUUUUCAAUCUUUAACAUUUUGACUAAUUUAAAUUUAUACCGUGUAUGAACUUGGUAGGAGGUGGCAGUGAAAAACAAAACAUAAGAUUUACUUGAAUGAUAGUGACAAGUAUUUGUUUUUCUCCUUUGCCUCAUGUGCUGUUAGUAGUCUUAAUAGCUAAGUAAUUCCAUAUUUUGGUGGAUGAUUCACAAUCUUCACCCUCUAAUUAUGAAGAUAAAUUACAUAUUUUAUAUACCUUUGAAAAACAUGAAGAUAAAUUAGUAAUAAAGAGAAUAAUAUUCUUUAAUUUACUAAUGUCACUUACUAAUUACUAUGAAUGGAUAUAAUUAUCUCAGGUUUGUAAUUAUCUUUUUAAGUGAUAAUAGUUUGUUGGUGAAUAUAUCAUAAUUACCGUUGAAAACAAAGUGAACAGAAAUAAAUAAAUAAAUAUUUUUAUUAAGUCGUAACUAUCUCACAAUUUUUAAGGUGAUUCAAAUUCAUUGCAGUAUAAUUUUCAUCAAUUCAAUAAUAUAACUUUUGACUUGUCCCCUCUAAAAUAGUUUAACUCAAUUCGCACAAGCUCAUUCUUAUGAAAAGCGAUCAACUUUUGUCAUAAGUGAAAUCUAAUAAUGAUGCUCCUAUAAUUUCGACAUCCCACUCAUACAGUAUACAAAUCUUAUCAAGAGUUUUUAAGCUCACCCUCCAUAAAUCAUUAUAGAAUAAAUACAUUCACAUCAAAGGAAGAGAAUAGAAAAAAAAUAUAAUAGUGCAUAUAUAACUAGUUAUCAAAUAAUUCUUUCUUUCUGUUGAACCUAAUUAUAUGAUCUCUAGUUCCAGAUUGAAUUUUUCAUAUGUUACUCAAAAUUUCAGGAGCUUUAAUUUCAUCACCUCGACAUCUUCAAACUUUUUAUCUUAUUUAUAAGUGAAUUUGCAAGAUUAUCACAAAAUUUGACAUAAUCAAAUUUUAACUAUAUUACUUGUCAAAUAUGAUCUCAAAACAUUUAUUUUGCUUGUGGAUAUGAAUUUGCUGUUAUAAUAACGGUUUAAACUAUACCCAUAGCGUUGAUGUUAUCACAAUAAAUCAAAAUUAAAGAAAGUAAUUUUCAAUUGCACCACUUGUGAAAAAUGAUUAUCGUUAUUAGCUCAAUAAAGAUACUACCAUAGUAAAUCGAAAUAAACACGUUUCAGAAGAACUUUUAUUUUUCAGUUGUAUUUGUAUUUAAAUUAUAGUCAUACAAAUGUUACCACAAAUUCCAAAAAAAAAAAUUAUUUCUUCAAUUAAACACCUAGUUAAGCAACACUUGAACAUAAUAAAUUAAAACUAAGAAAAUAAUAUAAAUAUUCUUUAAAAGAAAUAUCGAUCGAUGAAUAAUUCCGCCCCUACACGCAGACGAAAAAAAAAGAAGUUUGAAAAGGGAAAUGCGAACCAUAUUGUACGCGUUAUUUGUUUUCUGAUUUCAGUAAGCAAAAGGAAAUUUUCAAACUAAAGCAUUUUCAUUUGAUAAUUAUUUAAAUUCAACUUGUUUUAUUAGGUGCUAAGAAACAUCUUAGUAAUAUCAUCCACCAGUCAAAAUUAAAUCCCAACUUAGUUCGAAAUAAUUAUUUGAAAUUUCUAACCUUCACACUAGUAAUUAAUUAAUAAUAUAUAUUAUUUACUUCCAGAAGAAGUCAAAUUUAAUUUUCUAUGACAAGAUGAUAUCUAAAAUACAAAUUAAAUUGAACAUGUUUGGUCGAAUUUUCUCGUCCUUCAUGACAACUACGUAAUAUUUUUGGACAUUACAAUUCACCGGCCUAUAAAUAAUGGAGUAGCUAGAAAAAACAAAAUAUCAAAGCAUAAAUUGUCUAUCGACGUUUAAUCAACAAUUAAUUUAGUGAAGAAAAUAUUAUAAUAUUAAUAUGGCUGAAGAGAAACAACAUCACCGUUUGUUCCACCACAAGAACAGAGAGGAAGAAGGUGGUCCAGUUGAUCAUAAAAAAAAAGUGAAGCACCAUAGCCAUCUCCAGAAAAUUGGUGAACUUGGUGCUGUUGCUGCCGGUGCUUACGCCUUGGUACGUAAACAUUACUUCCUCCAUCUCAUUUUAUUUGACUAGGCACGAAGUUUAACAAUGAAUAAUCGAAAUUUAAAUCAUUUCAUCAAUCGUGUAUCAUUCUUUUUUAGACUGACUAAAAAGUAAAGUAAGUCACAUAAAUUGGAAUUGGAAUAGGAAGAAUAUUUAAUAACAUAUGUUAUGUCCAUUGAUAUAAAAUAUUUCAUAUACAUGUCCUAAAUUUUUGUGUCUAGUUAUUUCAAAUAGGAUAUGUAUGGUACUAUUAUACUCUAUGUUCUAUGUGGAAUAUAUAUAGUUGGACUAGUGAUUUCGCUCCAAGUUUAAAGUGAUCAUAUAGCUUUUCUAAUGUCAUAAUACUCCCUUCGUCUUAUAUAAUCGUUACUUUUUAUUUCCAAGCUUAUGUCGAAAAGUAGUAAAAAAACGAUAGAUAAUUUGAAGCGAACAUGUAUGUACUAAAAAUGCAUGUAAAUAUACAGCAUGAGAAGCACAAGGCAAAGAAAGACCCAGAGAAUGCACACAAACACAAGAUAAAACAAGAGAUAGCAGCAGUAGCUGCAGUUGGUGCUGGUGGAUUUGCAUUCCAUGAACAUCAUCAGAAGAAAGAAGCCAAGAAAGAGAAAAAGGCAGCUGAGAAAGGACGACACCACUAAUUAAAUUUAAGUCACCCAUCUAUGGACUGCAUAAAAUAAAUAAAAGUUACUAUAUAUGUAUAUAUAUUAUGUGUUUUAUGUUCAGUUUAAAUUUAAUUUAUGUCCAGUGUGUAUUAGAAUGGUGUUUCUCACCUUGUAACACUUUUUCUAUAAUUCUAUUCAUUAAUUUGUUUUUUCAAUGUUAAUCUUAUUUUUCUUCCUUGUGUAAUUUUUUUUUAUUUUUUUUAAAAUGUAACUUUCAUGCUUUUUGGUGGUGUAACCCUUUUAUUUAUUUAAUCUAAUAAGCUAUACAUAGAAAACAAAUGAUAGCCUAAACUACCGUAAACACAUGUUUGAUUCAUGAAUCCGACUGGAAAAAAAGUGGUAUAGCAAGUAUUUUUAAAAUCUACCAAAAUUGUAAGUAAUUAUAUAUAGUAUAUAAAGUGGUGAGUUUGCUAAUAGCCUAUAUUACUUAGCCCAUAUUAGUUCAUAAUCUAUGUAAUAUAUUUUUUUUAUUCGAAAAAAACAUUGAUACAUGACAUUUUACAUAAAUAAAAUAUUUCAACUUGACAUAAAUAGUAAACUAUCAUUAUUAAUUAAAACUUAAAGAUUAAAAUAUUACUAUCCAUAAAAAAAUUAAUUUUUAAUUAAAAAAUUCAUACUUCACCUCCCCUUCCCCGUAUUAUUUUAUUUUUUCAAAAUAAUUUUUUCCCCCAUCCAUUUAACCCUUCAAUCCUAAUUUUUAUUUUAUUUUAUUUUAUGUUAGAUAUGCACGCACAUAUAUUUUAAGAAAAAUAUGCUAUUAGUGUAUCGAAUAAAACAUUAAUAAGUAAAAAAUUAAAACAUGUCUUGCAGUGACAAGUAAAAAGUAUUUUUGAUAUGUGUAUAUAUCUAACACAAAAUAAAAAAAAUUAAAUGGAGUGGAUAAUAUUAUUUAUUCUUUUAAAAAAUAAAAUAAUAUUUAAAUUAGUAUUUCAGCAGGCAGGGGAAGAGAGAGGGGGGUUGAAACUCAAAAAAUGAUAUUAAAUAUUAAAUAACCUAGCGUUAUUUUAAUUUUUUUACUAAUAUAACUAUACAAGUGUCACGACCCAAAUCGUGUCCUCCUGUGUGAGCGAACCAACCAAUCUAAACCUUAACAUUUCAAUAUAAUAUCAACAGAAAAUAAUGCGAAAGACUUAAACUCAUUAAUAAAAUCAAUAACUAUUAUUAUCCCCAAAAUCUGGAAGUCAUCAUCACAAGAACAUCUACUUCAAAUUACUAAAUCUAAGAGUUUCUAAGAAGCUAAAAAUACAUAAAAGCUAGUCCAUGCCGGAACUUCAAGGCAUCAAGACAUGAAGAGGAAGAUCCAGUCCAAGCUAGAAGCAUUAGCUCACCCUGAUAUCCGGAAUAAUGAAGACUGGCUAGAGUUGCGGUUGAGUUGAAGACGAUGGCACGUUUGCUGCACUCCACAAAUAACAAAGAAGAAAACAUAAAAGUAGGGGGUCAGUACAAACACAAGUACUGAGUAGGUAUCAUCGGCCAACUCAAAAUAGAAAACAGUAUAUAUCAAGUAAUAUCAUAAAAUCAACUAUGAUACUCAACAUGUAGCAUUUACAAUUACCAUAACCCUUGGUUACAACACCAAGCUCAUCAAUGAGGACUCACGCCUCCUCAUCAUACUCAUUUGGGAUUUAGGUUCAUUAGAUUGAGUAUAUUAACAUCUUUCAAGAUUCAUUAUCUUUAUUCCUCUCGUGUCGGUACGUGACACUCCGCUCCUCAAUAUACUAUCCUGGUGUCGGAACGUGACACUCCGAUCCUCAUUCUAUCCUGGUACCGGAACGUGGCACCCGAUCCAUAUUCUAUCCUGGUGUCGGAACGUGACACUCCGAUCCUCAUUCUAUCCUGGUGUCGGAACGUGACACUCCGAUCCUCAUUCUAUCCUGGUACCAGAACGUGGCACCCGAUCCAUAUUCUAUCCUGGUGUCGGAACGUGACACUCCGAUCCUCAUUCUAUCCUGGUGUCGAAACGUGACACUCCAAUCCUCAUUCUAUCCUGGUGUCAGAACGUGACACUCCGAUCCUCAUUCUAUCCUGGUACCGGAACGUGGCACCCGAUCCAUAUUCUAUUCUGGUGUCGGAACGUGACACUCCGAUCCUCAUAUACUAUCCUGGUACCGGAACGUGGCACCCGAUCCUCAUAUACUAUCCUGGUACCGGAACGUAGCACCCGAUCCCCUAAUCUCCUUCUAUCAAUUCAUCAAGCCUCCUUUCUUACCAAGGCAUCAUCAAUCUCAUUAUUUUAGUUCAUCACGCCUUCUUUUAUACCAAGACCUCAUCAUUAACAAAGAGAUUAGGGUUUUUCAAGAUUUGGGAUUCAAUAACUUCAUCAUGCUUAUAUAAUCACAAUUAUAUAAUUACAUUCAUGCAAGCAUACAAGUAAGCACAUAGCAGGAUUUACAAUAUUAUCAAUACAUAUCAUUCGCUAUUAAGAGUUUACUACGAAUAUCGUAAGAGAAACCAUAACCUACCUCCACCGAAGACUAGUGAUCAAGCAAGCAAAUUCCCAAAGCUUUGUUCUUCUUCUCUCCCUGUUCGUUCGUUUUCUCCCUCUCUUGUGCUUUCAAAUUCUCUUUCUUUUACCCUAAUUAGCAUAUAAUUAAGAAUAAAAGGUGGUAAUAAUAACCCACUAAUUAAUUUAAGGUUACCUCUUUUAACCCCCAAGAAGUUUAGUUAUUAAUAUAAACCCACGAAAUAUAUAAUUAUAGCAGGAAUAGUCCAAAACGCCCCUUUAAAACUUAACCAGAAAUCCGACUCCGACUGGGAUUACACAACCUGUGACGGCCCGUCGCGCCCGCGACAGUUCGUCAUGCAGGUUCGUCAGAGACUCGAUUUCCUUAAGGAGUCUGUGAUGGCCCGUCGAACCUACGACGGUCCGUCCUGCACUUCUGUCACGACGUUCUGAGAAUCGUUCCCUGUACCAAAUUCUCAAGAGUUGAAGUGUUUUUAAACGGUGGAUCACGACGGUUCAUCAUGCCUGUGAUGGUCCGUCCUGCAGGUCCGUCACAGAGUUCAGAGAGUCGAUUUCAGCACCCAAAUUUCAGAAUUUCUAAGUGUUUUGGGAUGAGACACCCUCGACGGUCCGUCGUGCCCAUGACGUUCCGUCGUCUCAGCCUGUUUUUUCAGAAAUAAAAUAUGCUGCUCAAAACGACAAAACAGGUCAUUACAUUAGAUACCAAUUUACCCAUCGUUCGUCCCCGAACGAUCACAAGAAGGAAAAUAAGGGCGAAAAGGAGUACCUGAAUCUGUGAACAGGUGUGGAUAUCUUUCUCGCAUAUCAACCUCCUUCUCCCAAGUGGCUUCUUCAACGGGUCGAUUCUUCCAUUGAACUUUGAUAGAUGCAAUCUCCCUUGAUCUCAACUUGCGAAUUUCUCUAUCUAGAAUAGCAACAGGCUCCUCCUCAUAGGACAAAUUCUCAUCAAGCAAAACUGAAUCCCAACGGAUAAUGUAGUUUUCAUCCCCAUGGUAUCUUUUCAACAUCGACACAUGGAAUACCGGAUGUACUCCGGACAGCCCUGGAGGCAAGGCUAACUCAUAAGCCACCUCCCCUACUCGCUUAAGUACUUCAAAGGGACCAAUGUACCUUGGGCUUAGCUUGCCUCUUUUACCAAACCGCAUCACCCCUUUCAUUGGCGAAACUUUCAACAAGACUUGUUCACCCUCCAUGAACUCUAAGUCUCUAACCUUCCGAUCUGCAUAUUCUUUUGCCUACUUUGCACCGCUAGAAGCUUUUCUUGAAUAGAUUUCACUUUCUCUAUCGAAUCCCUCAAAAGAUCAGUACCCCAAGGUCUAACCUCGAAUGCAUCAAACCAACCAAUGGGGGACCUACAUCUCCUACCAUACAAUGCUUCAAAUGGAGCCAUAUCAAUGCUUGAGUGAUAGCUAUUAUUGUAUGAAAACUCCGCUAAGGGUAAGAAGUUAUCCCAAUGGCCACCAAAUUCUAUUACACACGCACGAAGCAUAUCCUCCAACACUUGAAUCGUUCGCUCAGACUGGCCAUCGGUCUGAGGAUGGAACGCGGUACUAAGGUCCAACCUAGUACCUAAUUCAGCAUGCAAUGUUCUCCAAAACUUAGAAGUAAACUGCAUACCUCUAUCUGAUAUGAUGGAGAGUGGAACCCCAUGCAACCGAACAAUUUCUGAGAUAUAGAUUUUGGCUAACUUCUCUGCAUUGUAAGUCACCUUUACCGGAAUGAAAUGAGCAGACUUAGUUAACCUAUCAACAAUCACCCAAAUAGAGUCGUACUUACCCAUCGUCUUUGGAAGACCAACCACGAAGUUCAUUGCGAUUCUCUCCCAUUUCCAUUCCGGAAUGGGCAUUCUCUAAAGUGUUCCUCCGGGCCUUUGGUGUUCAUACUUUACUUGUUGACAGUUUGGACAUUUGGCAAUAAAAUCCACAAUAUCACGCUUCAUUCUACUCCACCAAAAGUGUUGCUUUAGGUCACGGUACAUCUUGGUUGCACCCGGAUGUAUCAAAUACCUUGAACUAUGAGCCUCUGUCAAAAUAGUGUUGAUCAAAUCAUCGACGCGGGGUACACAUACCCUUCCCUUAAUCCUUAAAACACCUUCCUCAUCGAUUUGUGCUUCCUUAGCCUCUCCUCGCAAUACCUUAUCUUGGAUUCUGCGCAGUUUCUCAUCAUCAAACUGUCUUCCCUUAAUCUUGUCAAGGAAGGAAGAUCUUGCCUCCACACAAGCUAAAAAUCCUCCCUUCUCAUUUACUUCUAAUCUCAUAAGGUCGUUAGCCAGAAUCUGAACUUCUCUAGCCAAUGGGCGUCUAGAAGCUUGCAAGUGAGCUAGACUUCCCAUUCUUCCCGCCUUUCUACUUAAAGCAUCCGCUACAACAUUCGCCUUCCCCGGAUGAUACAAAAUAGUGAUGUCGUAGUCCUUCAGUAGUUCCAUCCAUCUCAUCUGUCUCAAGUUCAAAUCUUUCUGAGUAAAGACAUACUGUAGGCUACGAUGAUCCGUAUAGACCUCACACUUAACCCCAUAUAAAUGGUGUCUCCAUUGCUUUAAUGCAAACACUACCGCGGCCAAUUCCAAAUCAUGAGUUGGAUAGUUACGUUCAUGCACUUUUAAUUGUCUUGAAGCAUAAACAAUCACAUUCUUCUCUUGCAUUAGCACUGCACCCAAACCCGAAUAGGAUGCAUCACAAUAGACAACGAAAUUCUUACCUUUCACUGGCAAGGUAAGGAUUGGUGCGGUAGUCAACAAAGUCUUGAGCUUCUGGAAGCUUUCUUCACAUUCUUCCGACCAUACAAAUGGAACAUUCUGCUUAGUCAAGUUCGUCAAUUGGGAAGCAAUGGAAGAGAAUCCCUUGACAAAUCGACGGUAAUAGCUAGCUAACCCAACAAAACUCCUUAUUUCUAACACAUUAGUAGGUCUUACCCAAUUUUUCACUGUCUCAAUCUUAGAAGGAUCCACCAUCACUCCAUCCUUAAAAACCACGUGCCCCAAGAAGGACACCGCAUCUAGCCAAAAACUCACACUUGGAGAAUUUGGCAUAAAGCUUUUUCUCCCUCAACAUUUCCAAUACCAUUCUCAAAUGCUCUUCAUGUUCCUUCUUGCUCUUUGAGUAUACCAAUAUGUCAUCAAUGAAUACGAUCACAAAGAGAUCCAGAUAUGACUUAAAAAUCCCGUUCAUCAAGCUCAUGAACGCAGCAGGGGCAUUCGUAAGGCCAAAAGACAUCACUACAAAUUCGUAAUGCCUAUACCUGGUUCUAAAAGCAGUCUUUGGCACAUUCAUUGCCCAUAUUUUCAAUUGAUGAUAACCGGAUCUUAAGUCAAUCUUAGAGAAGACACAAGCACCUUGUAACUGAUCGAACAAGUCAUCAAUGCAAGGAAGAGGAUACUUGUUCUUUAUGGUUACCUUUUUUAGUUGUCUGUAGUCUAUGCACAUUCGAAAACUCCCAUCCUUCUUCUUCACAAACAAAAUUGGAGCACCCCAAGGAGAUGCACUUGGUCUAAUGAAGCCUUUGUUCAACAACUCUUGAAGUUGGGCUUUUAACUCUCUUAACUCCGCGGGAGCCAUUCUAUAAGGGGGUAUAGAAAUGGGGCGAGUACCCGGUCCAAGAUCAAUACAGAAGUCAAUAUCCCUAUCUGGCUGCAUACCAGGAAGAUCUGCAGGGAACACAUCCAAAAACUCACGAACCACCGAAACCGACUCAAUCGAAGGUACUUGGAUAGUGUCAUCCUUGAGAUGUGCCAAGAAAGCUAAACACCCUUUACUAACCAUUUUCUUAGCACGAAGAAAAGAGAUGAUACGUACCGGAUUGGAAGUGUAGUCACCCUCCCACACUAACGGAUCUGUCCCAGGCUUGGCUAACAUCACCGUUUUAGCAUUACAAUCCAAGAUCGCAAAUUGUGGAGAAAGCCAAGUCAUACCCAAAAUUACAUCAAAAUCACCCAUUUCUAAGAUAACCAAAUCUACAUAAGUGUUGCUCCCCAUAAAGUUCACCAAACAAGACCUAUAUACCUUUUCAACUACCACAGACUCACCCACCGGAGUAGAAACACGAAUAGGCAUAUCAAGCAAUUCACAAUGUAAAUCAAAGACCAUUAGAAAAUGCGGAAGAUACAUAUGAAAAUGUAGAGCCAGGGUCAAACAAUACAAAAACCAUGCAAUCACAAACCAGAAGAUUACCUGUGAUGACAGCAUCAGAUGUCUCCGCCUCCGAUCUCCCAGGGAAAGCAUAACAAUGGGCCCUUUCGUUUGUUUGUCCGUUGCCCCUACCAUGUUGUGAUGUAGUGGCUCCAGUUUGCCCAUCACCCCGGCCGUUUUGGUGACCACCAUUACCUCGACCACCGUGUCCUCCAGAAUGACGACCUCUUUCAUAACCACCCCUACCUCUAACAUUUGGAGGUCUGUAACUCUGUUUUAGACAAUACCUCUUAAUGUAUCCAGUCUCCCCACAUCCAUAACACUCUCUGGGUUCAAGUAUAGGUCUCUCAGAGAAGUGUUGACCGGUCUGAGGUGGACCCCCAACUACAGUCUGUAGUGAAGACUGAAUGGGUCGAACUGAGUAACCUCCGGAACCCUGUCCUCUAGAGUAAGAACCAUUAAACUCACCUCCCUUUCGAAACCUCUUUGAUGUCGAUGCCAAGGUGAAUUCAUCUGGCUUCACUCCUUCCACCUCUACCACGAAAUCUACCACUUCUUGGAAGGAUUUUGCCGUAGCCGCUACUUGUAAGGCUGAAAUCCGCAACUCUGACCUCAACCCCUUCACAAAAUGACGAAUCCGCUCUUGUGGACUGAAACAAAGUUGGGUGGCAUAUCUGGAUAGUGCAUGAAAAUUAGCCUCAUAUGCAUUGACCGACAUCCUACCUUGCUCUAGGCUCAAGAACUCAUCCCUUUUACUAUCCCUUAAAGUCCGGGGGAUAUACUUCUCCAAAACUAGAGAAUGAGGCUCAAGUCAUAGGUGGUGCCUCUGUUGUUUGACACUCAACAUGUGACCACCACCACAUUUUGGCGUUCCCUUGAAACUGAUAAGUCACAAACUCCACACCAAACCGUUCUACUAUACCCAUCUUGUGUAGUAGCUCGUGACAGUCAACCAGAAAAUCAUAAGCAUCCUCCGAUUCAGCACCCUUGAAGACUGGAGGUUUCAAUUUCAAGAACUUGCUGACAAGUUCAGGCUGAUCAUUUGUCAUUAUAGGCCCAGUAGUCAGACGUGGAAACGUGCCUAUUUCCAAUGGGACAUCCAUGCGGGGAGCCGCAGUAGCCGCAUGUUGUACCUCCAGAGCCUGAGGUGCUGGUGCAGAAAACACUGGAGGUGUCUGGCCUUGAUCAGAUAACCCUCUAAGAUAAGCGAGAACCUGAUUGAUCAUCUCUGGGGUAGGUUGGGGUGGCAAUUUCUCAUUUUGCACUUGUUCAUUCUCCCCAUCCUUCCCUUCUCUUAUUACUUCCUCAGUCGGUAGAGGAGUCACUGCCCUAGUAUCAGAUGGGCUAGGUGCUCAUCCUCUUCCCCUAGAGGACGUCCUCCCACGACCUCUUCCACGGCCUCUUGCCGCUACUCUUCCUCUAGCUACAGCCCCAGUGGCUGGCUCAGACGCACCCUGUUCCAUCGGUGCUGGUGUUGGCGCGGUUGUUGCUCUAGUUCUAACCAUCUGCGAAAUAGAGUGAAGAUGGUCAGAUACCAAUUUGUAUCACCUAGAUACCAAUUGGACCCAAGUAAUAGCACGAAAGAAAGAAAGAAAGAAUGGAAUUUUCCUAAAGUCUUAUAGCCUCUCAAAGAAAAGUAAAGGCGUCCCUCUACCGUUCCUUAAGACUCUACUAGACUCGUUCUUGUGUGAUGAGACCAACGAACCUAAUGCUCUGAUACCAAGUUUGUCACGACCCAAAUCGGGCCGCGACUGGCACCCACACUUACCCUCCUGUGUGAGCGAACCAACCAAUCUAAACCUUAACAUUUCAAUAUAAUAUCAACAGAAAAUAAUGCGGAAGACUUAAACUCAUUAAUAAAAUCAAUAACUAUUAUUAUCCCCAAAAUCUGGAAGUCAUCAUCACAAGAACAUCUACUUCAAAUUACUAAAUCUAAGAGUUUCUAAGAAGCUAAAAAUACAUAAAAUCUAGUCCAUGCUGAAACUUCAAGGCAUCAAGACAUGAAGAGGAAGAUCCAGUCCAAGCUAGAAGCAUUAGCUCACCCUAAUAUCCGGAAUAAUGAAGACUGGCUAGAGUUGCGGUUGAGUUGAAGACGAUGGCACGUUUGCUACACUCCACAAAUAACAAAGAAGAAAACAUAAAAGUAGGGGGUCAGUACAAACACAAGUACUGAGUAGGUAUCAUCGGCCAACUCAAAAUAGAAAACAGUAUAUAUCAAGUAAUAUCAUAAAAUCAACUAUGAUACUCAACAUAUAGCAUUUACAAUUACCAUAACCCUUGGUUACAACACCAAGCUCAUCAAUGAGGACUCACGCCUCCUCAUCAUACUCAUUUGGGAUUUAGGUUCAUUAGAUUGAGUAUAUUAACAUCUUUCAAGAUUCAUUAUCUUUAUUCCUCUCGUGUCGGUACGUGACACUCCGCUCCUCAAUAUACUAUCCUGGUGUCGGAAUGUGACACUCCGAUCCUCAUUCUAUCCUGGUACCGGAACGUGACACCCGAUCCAUAUUCUAUCCUGGUGUCGGAACGUGAUACUCCGAUCCUCAUUCUAUCCUGGUGUCGGAACGUGACACUCCGAUCCUCAUUCUAUCCUGGUAGCGGAACGUGGCACUCGAUCCAUAUUCUAUCCUGGUGUCGGAACGUGACACUCCGAUCCUCAUUCUAUCCUGGUGUCGGAACGUGACACUCCGAUCCUCAUUCUAUCCUGGUGUCGGAACAUGACACUCCGAUCCUCAUUCUAUCCUGGUACCGGAACGUGGCACCCAAUCCAUAUUCUAUUCUGGUGUCGGAACGUGACACUCCGAUCCUCAUAUACUAUCCUGGUACCGGAACGUGGCACCCGAUUCUCAUAUACUAUCCUGGUACCGGAACGUGGCACCCGAUCCCCUAAUCUCCUUCUAUCAAUUCAUCAAGCCUUCUUUCUUAACAAGGCAUCAUCAAUCUCAUUAUUUUAGUUCAUCACGCCUUCUUUUAUACUAAGGCCUCAUCAUUAAUAAAGAGAUUAGGAUUUUUCAAGAUUUGGGAUUCAAUAACUUCAUCAUGCUUAUAUAAUCACAAUUAUAUAAUUACAUUCAUGCAAGCAUACAAGUAAGCACAUAGCAGGAUUUACAAUAUUAUCAAUACAUAUCAUUCGCUAUUAAGAGUUUACUAUGAAUAUCGUAAGAGAAACCAUAACCUACCUCCACCGAAGACUAGUGAUCAAGCAAGCAAAUUCCCAAAGCUUUGUUCUUCUUCUCUCCCUGUUCGUUCGUUUUCUCCCUCUCUUGUGCUUUCAAAUUCUCUUUCUUUUACCCUAAUUAGCAUAUAAUUAAGAAUAAAAGGUGGUAAUAAUAACCCACUAAUUGAUUUAAGGUUACCUCUUUUAACCCUCAAGAAAUUUAAUUAUUAAUAUAAACCCACGAAAUAUAUAAUUAUAGUAGGAAUAGUCCAAAAUGCCCCUUUAAAACUUAACCAGAAAUUUGACUCCGACUGGGAUUACGCAACCUGUGACGUCCCGUCGCGCCCGCGACGGUUCGUCAUGCAGGUUCGUCAGAGACUCGAUUUCCUUAAGGAGUCUGUGACGGCCCGUCGUACCUACGACGGUCCGUUCUGCACUUCCGUCACGACGUUCAGAGAAUCGUUCCCUGUACCAAAUUCUCAAGAGUUGAAGUGUUUUGAAACGGUGGAUCACGACGGUUCGUCGUGCCUGUGACGGUCCGUCCUGCAGGUCCGUCACAGAGUUCAGAGAGUCGAUUUCAGCACCCAAAUUUCAGAAUUUCUAAGUGUUUUGGGACGAGACACCCUCGACGGUCCGUCGUGCCCAUGACGUUCCGUCGUGGGUUCCGUCGUCUCAGCCUGUUUUUUCAGAAAUAAAAUCUGCUGCUCAAAACGACUAAACAGGUCGUUACAACAAGAGUUAUUCAAUUAAUAUAGUCCCUCCAAGGACAUCCAAUAAAAAAAAAGAGAUUCAAUAAAACUCAUUUUUAUUUUACCCAUCUUCAUUAUUCUCGCCCGUAAAAUAUAGAAAUAAAAACAACAUAAUUAAACAUAUUUUUAACUAUCGUAUAGAUACAUAUUUUACCUAUAGUUUAGACGUAUUCCAAGUUCAUCUCCCUAUUCUAUUUCUUUCUUCUUUCUCCCUCAUAAAUCUUCUUCACUAAACCAUCUUGUGAUGGUCGAACAACCGAUACAAACAAGCACAUAGAAGCGAAGAAGUCAAGAUAGUCAUAAGCUAAAGCAGGAUAAAUUGUUCAAUCUAUAUAAUAAAAAAGGACUUCUUGAUAAUGCGCACAACUUAAUUUGUAUAUUUGCAACCAACAAACACAGAAACAUCGAUUGUAUGGCACAAAGGAACUAUAAAUCCAGGUUUCACAAGUAAAGUUCUUAAUUCACAACAUACUGUAUGUAUCUAUCUUACAAUCUCGAUUUUGCGUUGUAUUAGACACCAUGAGAUAUGUCUGACGUAAUUAUUAUUAAUCUAUUACAAUGUUGUGUAUUAAAUACAUGUAUAUAUAAGAAAGUAUUGGUAUUAAACUAAGAUUAUAUGCUUUAUGAAUCUUGUGUUACAUAAGAUACAAAAGAUGUAUCCAACAUUAAUUCAUGUAUAUUACACAUGUUCUAUAGAGUAUCAGAAUUACUUACAUGUAUAACAUGUAUCUGAUCUAAUAUUAACAACAACGUAAUGCAUGUGUCAUACUUAUUAAUUUAAUGUAUAUGAAUUAUCUCGUAUACAGGUUAAAUGAAAUAUGUCAAAAACUUGUUUUAAAAGACUUGAGUACUGAGUUGAGGAAAAGUAUAGUUGAGUUCAUUUUCUUUAAAAUGAUAUAUGCGAACUAAGUAUUUCCAAGAGUAAAUGAUUUUACAUUUAAGAUGAGGAAACUGAGAUUUCCAAUAGAGUUUUAACCAGUUUGAGUACCAUCUCUUUUAAGGGAAAGAUUUUGAAUUAUAAUCUCAAACUACAAAAAAGUUAUGUUUUUAUACAUAUGAACUGAAUAUAAUUUUAGGAGUAGUAUUGAACACCGUGGGGACGAGUUUCACAUAACUCAAGUCUCCAUAAAUUAUGUAUCCAAUGUAGGAAGAAAGGGUCAUACUUUUAAAAUUAUUCCUUAAUGUUUUUUAGCAUAGACUAGUGGAUCCAAUUAGUUGAGAGGUUAUAUACCCCGACAAAGUAUAGUAAAGUUCUGACAGCGUGGGCGAGACGAUGUAUCAUCACUUACUCAUAGUGAUGAGAAACUCACAUAGAGUUAUAUUAUAUUCUUUAUAUAUACUAACUGAGUUAUUAUUGUAUUCUUCAAUACAUUUAGUUGUUAUCUACUGUGUUAAAAGUUUUUCAUAUAUAUUGCAUCUUUUACUAUUUUUUUAAUCGUUGAGUAUCAUGAGUUGAGUAUCUUUGAGUUGAAUAUCAUAUCUCUGAAUUGAGUAUCUUAUUUUUAAGUUGAAUUGAGUGAGUUGUGAAGAGGUAAGUUGUCCUUUUUUAUCAAGUUCAUGCCUAUAUUUAUGCUUAAGAAUUCCCCUUACAUGCUCAUACAUUCCACGUAGCGAACCAUUUGGCAUGUAUGAUUGCACGAUGCAAAUAUAGAUAUUCAGGAUCAUCAACAGGCUUUUCGUUGAGGUCAUGUGAUAUUUCAGUCAACUCUUGGUGAACCUUUUUUUUUAUUUCGGAGGACUUCACCUUUAUCUUACCAUUAGUAGUUUUGAGAUGUCGUGGGUCUUGUCCCGAUAUCCUUUUGUAAUAGUAGGGGUUUUGUAGAUAGACAAUAGAGUUUAAGAAGUCUGUUUUUUAUUUAUUUUGUUAAAUGCUUUAAAGACUUGAGUUGCCUAUUUCUAACGAGUUGAAUAUAAUGUUUUAUUUAGAGUUUAUCAUUUGAAUCAAAGUUUUGUUAUUGAUUUUAAUGAAUUCAGUUUUAAGCGGUUGUAUGCUUGAGUUAUUCUUCCAAUUGUAGUAAGUCAUGAUGAUUGUUCUCUUGGGGACCAACAAUGGUUCUCGAGUGUUAGUCAUGCCCAAGGUGUAGGUUCGGAUUAUGACAAACUUGAUAUCAGAGCACAGAGUUUAAAAGUCCUAGGGAGUCUAUGAAGUUGUGUAUGUAGAAACCUAGUUAUUAGUGUGAAGUGCACCAUAUUUACAAUUAGGAGGCUUCAACAUUUAGGAACUAUAUAAAUUUUUUCAUACUCUUAAUCAUGCAAUAGAGUUAUGUUAUAGAGAUUAAUUCAUAAUCCUGUGUUUCUUAGAUUCAUCCAAUUUAUUCAUUAUCGUGUGUUUCUCAGAUUCAUCCAAUUUAUUCUUUAUCGUGUGUUUCUCAGAUUCAUUCGACUACUCGUCAUACUAGAGGUGGUUGAACAUUCAGUCCUUUAUCGAUGAGUUGUUCUUAGAAAAGGCUUGAGGAAAUCAUGCGACUCCAGAGGGGCUUGAUAGAAGCCCCUUAGCGGCUUAAGUAGAUAUGCACUUAUGUUCAUAUGAAGUGUGCGUUUGAGUUAACGAGUAGUACACUAUUUCCUAAAAUCAGUUGAGACCUUUAAGAAGAUGGUAUGUUUAGAGCUUGGGUAGUAUUUUCGCUUUAAAGAUAGUAUGAAUUACGAGAUUAUAAGUAGUGAAAGUGUCAUGGGUUAGAGGAAAGUAUGUGAAGUUUCAAUACUCUAAGGAAAGGAGAUAGUGUUGGAGCGGAUUAUGUCAAUGUGUCAUCGUGUUAGAGAAGACUAACUUUUAUGUUGCAUAAUCGAGUAGAGUAUUCAUGAGGUGGUAGACCCAAACUACGCUUAUGAAUUUUGAAGGGGGAAACCCCAUGGUAUUUAGAGAAUGAUAGAACUAUUUUGAGAGAUAAUGUGUAGUAAAUGAGUAAGUAGUACUUAAGUUGCGAGGUCGAAUAUGAUGGUAAUUUGUGAGUAUGGAGACUAAGCAGUAAGGAUUGACUACUUGUCAUAAGUAUUAGGUUUUAUUUGCCCUAAAUUUCUUACCAUAAAUAGGUUUUCCUUUUAGGAAAAGGUUUUGAAUUGACUAAUCUUUUUCUUGUAGGAAAUUUAUGGGUCACAAGCUUGAUACGUUAUCACUUGUGUGAACCUCCCAUGUAUUCCGAGUGAAUUGGUUGAGGUUGUUUCUCUCUGUAUUUUGUACUCUCAUAUUUAUAGUGGAUUGCUCAUCUCCUUUGUAGACGUAGGUCGAUUGACCGAACCACGUUAAAUCUUUGUGUCUUUUGGUAUAUUUCUCGUUGUCUUCUUACUCGUAGUCUUUUGAGGUUUGCUUUGCUAGCUUCCGCGUUACACCUGCUUAUCUUUUAUCCUAACAAUAAGGUCUUAGUGGACGAGUGUUUCUAAAUUGUAUCCAAUAGUUGUAAGUUAGUAUAGUAAGCGAGCAAUCAUAUUGAUAUUUAGAUUUUGUAAUAAACAUUAAGCUUGAAAUUGAGAUGAGUAUCUUGACAAAAGAAUGAAAACAAAAGUUGAUGAUGUUAGUCUGGAGAUUUGAUCUAGAAGACUUGACAUAGAGUAGGUGAGAAAUUGAGGUGAUUAGUUGUAAUAGAAAUGAGUGGUACAAGUGAGAUACUCUAAGGGCCCAUUUGGCCAUAGAUUUCCCAAUUAAUAUUUGGGGGGAAAUUUGGCAAAUGAUGUUUGUCCAUACAGUUUGCCAUUAUUUGAAAAUAUUUUUGGCAAAUAUUCCAAAUUUCAAAAUACUAGUUUUUUCUAGUAUUCGGGUCAAAUCUCAUUAUUUGAAAUUUUUUAAAAAUUAAAAUCUUACCCCAAACUUUUAUCUUUUACAAAAACACCCUUUAUAGUAGUUGUUUGUGUUGUAUUACAUAAUUUUUUACGUGAACACCAAAGUAGUGAUGAAAUAUUCAGUUGAAUAUUAAAUGAUGAUAUGGUUGUUGAUGAAAAAUCGGUUCACGAUUUAUGGAAUGAUGCUUGUUGCACUCACUCCAAACUACCACAUUGCUCUAGUGUCAUGGACACUACUUGUUAUUGUUGCAACGAACAUCCAAUUGACUUGUAAUAUAAACUUAUAGUUGAUUUUGAUAGUUUUUAAAACUAAUGGGUAUAAAUCAUAUUUUUCUAAAAAGGUGAAACAUAUUUCCCAAAUACCAUAGUCAAACCCAUGAUGAAAUUUCACCUAAAUUUUCACUCAAAUAAUAUUUGCCAAGAAUAUUAAAAAAUCUAUGAUUAUACGUUUAAUUAGUGAAUUGUAGUUAUCUAUAAAUAUAAGUGAUACAAAUAAAAUAUAUUUAAUAUAUUAUUAUUAUUAUUUUUAUUAAUUAAUUUUAAUAUUUAUAUUGACUUUUUGACUAAUUUAAAUUCAUACCGCGUAAGAUGGGCUCGGUAGAAGGUGGCAGUGGAAAACAAAACAUAAGAUUUGACAUGAAUGGCAGUUACGUACAUGACAUUUUCAUGUUGUAGUAGGGUCAUAAUGUUUGUUUUUCUCUUUUGCCACGUGCUAUUAGCCUUAAUAGCUAAGUAAUUCCAUAUUUUUGGUAGAUGAUUAACAAUCUUUGCCAUCUAAUAUUUGAUGAUAUACGCGUUGUAUAACAAAUCUAUUACAAAUUUAUUAAGACUUUACGAUGGUGAUAAAGACGAUUUUAUAUUCUCGUUAUAAAAUUUUAUGAUGCUCGAAUUUAUAACGAAAUAAUGACAUAUUUUUAGUUAAAUAAAUCUAAUUUCAAAAGUGAUAUUCGAAGAAAACAAAUAGCAAAAACAUUCAUUUGGUGAGCAACCAUAAACCAAAGGCCAAAGUCACAACUAAUUGUCAAUGGGUUUUUGUAAUGAUAAAAACUUCAACUAAUAAGACCAUUAUGGUAGGAUAGUAAGUGAUUGUUUUUGAGAAAUUUUAGAAAAAAUUGUAUUAAGUAGUAAAUUAUCAAUUCAAAUUAAAUAGUCAUAGUUUAUUUUAAUUAUAAUUUGUAGCAAAUAUCUCAUUUUUUGUCAUCUGAUUCGGUAUAUAAUUAGCCUUUUUUGGUAUAUAAUUAGUCAUUUUAUACAUUUGAGUAUAAAAUAUAUUUGUGUUUGUAUAAAGCAACAAAAAUAUAUAUAUACAAAUACAAAUACAUACAUUUUCGUCCUACACACUUAUAAUUAUACAAAUACAUAUUCUAUUAUACAAAUUACAAUGUAUAAAUGAAUUUAUACAAAACUUAUCAAUUUGUAUAAAAUUGAUUGUUUGUAGCGAGAUAUACAAAUCAAAAGGUGCAGUUAUGCAAACUAUAGCUAUAAUAUGUAUCUUAUGUUUGUUAUAUGUGAAAGUAUUUUCUUUUAGUUAGAGAUUUUAAAUUUAAAUUUUAACAAUAGAUUAAUCUUUAAUUAAAAAAUACUAGUUUUACUCCUCCAAAAUAGAAUUUUUCUGUGCAAAAUUCGGGUUAAUAUCAUGUUUGUAAUCAUCUUUUUAAGUGAGAUAAUAAUUGUUGGUGAAUAUAUUACAAUUAUAGUUAAAAAUAAUGAAUACAUAAAUAUUUUUCCUAAGUCUCAGAUAUCUCACAAUCUUUAAACUGUAAAGUAAUUUUAUUCAUUAUAGAAUAAUUUUUAUCGGUCCAAUAAUAUAAUUUUUGACUUAUCUCCUUUAAAAUAUAAUAGCUCAAUUCAAACAAGCUCAUUCUCGUAGAAAGCAAACAACUUUUACAGGCAUAUAACUAAAAUUUGACAAUGAUGGAUUGAUGCUGUUAUAAUUUCGACACUCCACUUACACAACAUAUACAUUUCAUCAAAAAUUUUAAACUCAACCUUCACAAUCAUUACAUGAUAAAUAUAAUGAAGAAAAGUAUAAUAGUGCAUUCAUAACUAGUUAUCAUAUAAGUCAUUUUUUUCACUGAACACAAUUAUAGGAUCUUUAGCCUUCAGAUUGGAUUUCUUCGUAUGACUCAGAUUUUUUUGAGUUUUAAAUUCAUCCCCCUAGAUGUGGUUUAAACUCUUUAUCUUCUUAAGAAUAGUGAAUCUGUAAGAUUAUCACAAAAUUUGACAUAACUAAAGUUAAUGAAAUCACUUGUCAAAUAUGAUUUCACAAUAUUGUUUUUCCCUCGUAAAUCUUAAUUUACUGUUAUAAUAAUAAUUUUAAAUUGUACCAAUUCCAUUGGUGAUAUCACAAUAAAUCAAAAUUAAAGAAAGUAAUUUUUUGAUUGAACCACUUAUAAAAAUAUAAUUAUUGUUACCAAGUCUGUGAAGAUUUUACUACAAUAUAUUAAAAUAUACAAGUCUUAGAAGAACUUUUACUUUCUCUUCAUUUAUUUUUCAAUGGUACUUAUGUUUCCACUUAGAUAAAAAUUCUUAUUUUGAUAAUCUAUAGACACACAAAUGUCUGACACUUCGUCUAAGAUUUAGAUUACAAAUUUUAAAAAAUCCAUUUCCUUUUUUAAUAUAACACCAAAUUGACCAGUAUCACAUGAUUAAUUAAAACGAAGAUAGUAAUAAAAAUACUAUUUCUUUCUUUAUAAGAAACGUCGAGCAAUGCCCUUACACGCAGACUUUAAAAAAGAAGAAGUGAAAUACCAAACCAUGUACGCGUUAUCUACUUUGUGAGUUCAAUAAACAAAAGGAAAUUUUCAAACUAACAUUUUCCUUUGAUAAUAAUAUCCACUUGAAUUGUUUGAUUAGGUCCUAAAAUCACAGAAGCUUCUAUCCUAAUAAUAGCAUCCACUUAGUUCGAAAUAAUUAUUGAAAUUUCUGACGUUCACACAAGUAAUUACAAAUUAAUAAUAUUAUAUACUUCCAGAAGAAGUCAGGUUUAAUUUUCUCUAGCAAGGUGAUAUAUAAAAAAUUAAAUUGAAGGUGUGCCACCUAAUUCAUGGACGAAUUUUCUCAUCCUUCAUGUCAACUACGUAAUAUUUUUGGAUAUUACAAUUCAUAGGGGCUAUAAAUAAUGGAGUAGCUAGCUAGAAAAACAAAAUAUCAAAGCACAAAUUGUCUAUCGACGUUUAAUCAACAAUUAAUUUAGAGAAGCAAACAUAAUAUAACAUAUAUGGCUGAAGAGAAACAACAUCACCGUUUGUUCCACCACAAGAACAAAGAGGAAGAAGGUGGUCCAGUUGAUCAUGAAAAAAAUGUAAAGCACCAUAGCCAUCUCCAGAAAAUUGGUGAACUUGGUGCUGUUGCUGCCGGUGCUUAUGCCUUGGUACGUAAAUAAGUUCAUCGAUAUACUAUAUUUCAUUUAUGUCAUAAGUUUUCUUUAAUUUCUUAAAUCAUGCGUCCAAUUAUUUAAAAUAGGAUAUGUACGGGGUACUAUUGUAUGUGGAGAUAAAUAGUUGGACUAAUGACGCAUGAGUUCGCCCCAAAUCUAAAGUGAUCCUAUGACUUUCUUUACGUCAUACUUCAUUCGUUUCAAAAUAAGUGUUUUAUUUUUUUUAGAUCUAAUUUGAUCACUAUUUUUUAAAAAAUUAAUUGGAAUAGAUCAACACAAAAUUAGUUUUAAAAUUUAAAUUUAGAUAUUCAACAACUAUUACAAAAUUUACUACAAGUUACGAUUAUUCUCAUGUGUCGAUAUAAUGAAAAAGGCAUUAUUAAAUGAAAAUCGACUUUCACAUAUCAUAUCGAGAAGUACUAAUAGAAAUGACAGAUAAUUUGAAGCGAAUGAUUUGAGAAAUACCUUAGAUGACAUUGCACCAUAUACUUAUGGUUGAUAAAUGAAAAUAAUAAGUGUAUUUUUUCUCUUACAUAUCUCUUCAAUAUCUUAGUGUUUUGUUGUUACAUAAAUAUAUAUAGCAUGAGAAGCAUAAGGCAAAGAAGGAUCCAGAGAAUGCACACAAACACAAGAUAAAACAAGAGAUAGCAGCAGUAGCUGCAGUUGGUGCUGGUGGAUUUGCAUUCCAUGAACAUCAUCAGAAAAAAGAUGCCAAGAAAGAAAAAAAGGCUGCUGAGAAAGGACACCACCACUAAUUAAAUUUAACUACUACUAUCAUUUUAGCAGCUAUAUAUAUAUCUAUGGACUGCCUAUAAAAUAAAUAAAAGUUACUACGAUUAUGUGUUUUUGUAGUGUGGAUGUUUCUAUGUUAAUCUCACCUUGUAACACUUUUUCUAUAAUUCUAUUCAUUAAUUUGGUUUUUGAAUGUUAAUCUUUUUUUCUUCCUUGUGUUCUUUUUUUUAAUGUAAAUGUUAUGCUUUUGAUGGUGUAAACCUUUUAUUUAAUCUAAGAUAUAUAGAGAGAACAAUAGAGGGAGACUAUAGCCUAAAUCUCUGGAAAUUUUUUUUAGGAUUAAUAUACAAUCAUGAAAAAUGAUUAUGGUCAAUGAAAAUUAAAGAAUAAUAGUUCACAGUGACUCAAAAUACAUUAUUUCUUUUUUUGUGUCUUAUAUAGGGAAUCUGAAUCUUGUCAAGGGUGUAAGAGCCAGUUGCAUCCUUGGGCACAUUGUUAGGAUCAAAGAUCAGGAUAUUCUUUUUAUAUAGAUAGUAUUUAGCUAAUGCACCGGUCAGUUAGAAAUGCAAGAUGUUGAUCAAUGAAGUUCAAUGUACAAGUCAUAUGGUGUGAAUCGGUUAGUUUGUUAGAGAAUGUACAGUUGUACAUAGUUAGGUUGAUAACUAAAUGUGUAUAAGCUGAAUUAUAAAUAGUCAGCUUCAUGAAUGUAAUAGUUAGCUAAGUCAAUUCAAUGUAAAAGUAAUCUCUUCUUUUCUUCUCUCUUCUAUCCUUUUCUUUCUCUACAAGUUAGCAACUUAUGAAUCUCCAUUAAUGGAGUUUACAUGGUAUCAGAGCAGGGCCCGUCUCAUCCGAUGUUGGGGCUCUCCAAAAUUAAAAAUUGCCACGCACCAGAUGCUAAGCACUCGGCGUGAGGUGAGGUGUUAAAGAAUGACAAAAGUCCCACAUUGGUGGUUAAUGAGAUGGGUGGACUCCUUAUAAGGCUUAGACAAUCCUCCUCCCUUUGAGCUAACUUUUGGGGUAUGAGUUAGGCCUAAGACCUAAUUUAACAUGAUUUGUGUUAUGUUGCGUGUCCCAAAGUCUUAGAUAGGUUUGCCUCUAAAGCAAUUCCUGCUGUCUUCAUGAGCUAUUCUUCAACUCAAAAAUGGUAUAUUUUAUAUGAUGUUCAUGUUCACUCAUUUUUUGUGAGCAGACAUGUGGUUUUUUUUCAUGAACAUCUAUAUCCAUUUAAAUAUCUCAAAGCAUCUUUUAAUCCCAUAUUUCCCGUCUUAGAAACAGUAGUUUUUCAUGAACAUCUAUAUCCAUUUAAAGAUCUCAAAGCAUUUUCUAAUCCCAUAUUUCCAGUCUUAGAAACAGUCCUGAUAUUGAAAGUCUAGGUUAGUCGUCUGUCACUUUACCCUCCACUACAAACUCAGUUGUACCAAAUCAGAGCCGACUCCAGAUGUGUCUACUGCAGUUGAUCCAGCCAGGAGAUCAACUAGGCAGAGUAAACCCCCCAUAUGGUUGCAGGACUUUGUCACUACAUCUAAAGGCAAUGCAUGUGCCUACCUAUUACUAAUAAGCUCUCUUACUCUCAUUUGUCACAAACUUACAACCAGGUGUUGAAGGCUUACUCAGCUGUAUGUGAACCUGCAUCCUUUCAUGAAGCUAUUUCUGAUCCUGCAUGGGUAAAAGCUAUAAAACUGGAAAUAGCAGUUUUAGAAAGUAAUAAGAUAUGGAGCAUAGUUGAUCUUCCACCUGGUAAAAAACCCAUUGGUUGUCGAUGGAUUUAUAAAAUUAAGUAUCUCUCCUCGGGGGAAAUAGAAAGAUAUAAAGCACGGUUGGUGGCAAAGGGGUUCAGUCAGAAAGAAGGAAUUGAUUUUAGUGAAACCUUUAGUCCUGUGGCUAAGAUGGUUACAGUCAGGUCAGUGGUUGCUCUUGCAUCUUCUAGAGGGUGGUACAUCUAUCAGAUGGAUGUCCAUAAUGCUUUCCUCAAUGGUAAUAUACUAGAAAAGGUAUACAUGAGUAUUCCCAGUGGUUUUGCUAGACAGGGGGAGACUCAGAAGGCCUGCAAACACCACAAGUCAUUAUAUGGACUCAAGCAGGCACCAAGGUAAUGGAACAUGAAGCUAACAGAAGCAUUAGUAGAUAGGGUUCAAACAGAGUCACUAUGAUUACUCUUUAUUCACAAAGUUGGUUGGCUAUGACACAGUGAUAGUACUAGUGUAUGUGGAUGAUCUUAUAGUUACUGGAAGCAAUCAGAAACUCUUGUGUGACACCAGACAGGAGAUUCAAAAGAAGUUCAAGAUGAAGGACCAAGGUGAACUAAAGUUUUUUCUGGGAAUUGAGUUUUCUAGGCCUGACAAAGGCAUACUCAUGUCUCAAAGAAAAUAUGCAUUAGAGCUAAUUUCUUAAUCUAGGCUGGGGGGAGCAAAGCCAGCCUGCACACCGCAUGAGAUGAAUCAGAAACUCAUUUUUGUACAGUAUGAUGAACACAUCAAUAAUGGAAUUCCUGAAGGUGGAACAAUUCUUACCGACAUUACAAAAUACCAAAGAUUGGAAAGGAAACUUUUGUACAUUACCAUGACUAGACCUAAUCUUGCAUUCUCUGUACAAAUAUUGAAUCAAUUCAUGCAUUGUCCAAAAAAAUCACACAUGGAGGCAGCUUUAAGAGUGGUGAGAUAUAUUAAAGAGGCACCUGGUUUAGGCUUGUUAAUGCCAGCAAAUGACACCAAUAAACUGACAGUGUGAUUUUGACUGGGGAGCAUGUGUGGAAACGAGAAGAUCAGGUACAGGAUAUGCAAUAAAGUUUGGAGAAGGUCUUGUCUCUUGGAAGUCAAAGAAGCAAGAGAUUGUGUCAAGGAGUUCAGAAAGAAUGACCCUAUUUCUGUUUUAGUUUGUUUAAUAAGAAUGACCUAUUUUCCUUUUGGCAACAGUUUGACCUUAAUUUUUCACGUACCAUGUUUAAGACCACAAGAUUAAAGCGCAUUUUGGUACAUUUGGCAUAACUUUAAUUUGAAACCACAACAUUAAAAAGUCUUUUUCCUUUUCUUAUACUCCGUUUCAAGUCAAACUAGGUCUUUUGAAACAAAGGGAGUACUAUAUUAGUGUUUUUGGUACCAUCUAUUUUCUAUCAUUUAACAUUGUUGGAAGAAACAAUGGUUUGAUAAGGGAAUGUCCUAGUGGUGGCUGAAGUCGCAUUUCUAAUCCAACAAUAAACAGUAGGUAGUUUUUUUUUAUUUGUCCAAGUCUUGAUGGAUGGAAUACACAUUAUAUGUGUUGGUGGGAGGUAACAGGUACCUCGUUUUAUUAGCCUAGGUGUCUACAAACUGUCGGGACACCAUAAUUAUUUUAAAAAGUAGCAGAAUUAAUGUUCCCAUAUCUGUUGGCACUUUUACAAAUUAUCUUUUAAAUGUUGAGCAAAAGUGAGACUGUGAAGAUACUAAACAUUGUUUAGAUAUCUUCUAACAAGCUGUCUGUUUGUUUAUUUACUACUUGCUUGGCAUACAUAUGAUCAAUUAUUGUAGAUACAAAGUUGUUUGCAGGAAUUGGUUGCUACAGCUGACCGGUUCCUCUUAUGGAUUAUGUUUUUCUAGUGUUGGCCUAUCCUAUGACUUUGUUUCUUAUCACAUAUUAUCCAGUCUAUUCCAGUUGAUGAUGAUGUGUUAGCAGAAGCAGAAUAAUUGGCACAUAUUGCAGAUGAUCGUGAUCUCGAAAGAUGCCACAAUUUAAAUAUUAUUUGUUGAUCAAUUUCUUUGCUUUUAUUUCUUUUAGGAGGUGGAUAUAUUGAGUUUGAAUAUUAUUAAGUGAAUUAUAAUGUUUGAGUUUGGUAAGUUUGCUUAUUAUUACCUUUUUCUCUUUGUGAAUUUGUUGUUAAGAAAGUCCAACUAACAUAAAUCUAAUUUAUUUAAUGGAUAAUUAGUCACACAAUUGGGUAACUUAGCAUUUAUGCAUGUUUGCAUUUUGUCCAUUUUAUAAAAUCCACAAAAUGCAUAAAUGCUAAGUUGCCCAAUUGUGUGACUAAUUAUCCAUUAAAUAAAUUAGAUUUAUGUUAGUUGGACUUUAUAUAUAUAUGUGUGUGUUUUGCAUAAGUUUGUUAUGGUUUUGGUUCUGUACAUGCUCCCUCUCUUGUUCUGAAGCUCAUGGUUAGUCAUGAUUCCAUAUCUUGCUCAAGUUUUGUGUUUCUUUCAUUUAGUAUGCUCAUUUUGUACUUGAUCAAUUUACUCCAUCUAAUGAACUUCGCGGACUGCCAUUUAGGUCUUUAGAGAUGAUUUUUUUGUUGUUGUUGUUUGCUCCUGUUUUAUUCAUGGAUGUUUCUCCUAUUUAUUUGUUUCUUGUUGAGAUUAGUUUGAUAAAAGCCUCAAACGAAUGCUUCCAAAAUUUAUUUUCCUUUAGAAUUCUAAGCUGAGAAUAUGAAGAGUUGUCUGCUUACUUUUCUGUUUCUCCUCAAAUUUUAUUGUUUUCCCUAGUUCUCAUAUAACGAUAAGGUUUGUCGAUCCAAAGAGGUAUCAUUUUUGAAAGAAAAAAAAUUAUUGUCAUCUUUCUACUGUUGCUUAAUUCUCAUCUCUAGGUUGAAACCAUUGUGUUAUGUAUAAUUUUAUCUAAAAUAGGAUUAUUGGAUUACUCAUUCAUAUACUUGUAAUCCGAGAAUGUUUAUUCGUGAAGUUGUCUUUGUUUGAACAUUUUUGGACAAUGAAUUUGUUGGUUUGAAGAGUUACGACAAUUGGUUUGGGUUGUUGCGUUACUUCGUUUGAAUCACGAUGAGUUAAAAUCUUGCCUUUGUAUAUGUGCAAGUACCCUGUCCAACAUCCCCUGUCUUUUCUUCAUAUGACUUAAAUUUAAAAAUAGUAUAUCAUUGUAUGUAUUUUAUGUUGCAAGUUGGUUAUUACACUUAACAUAUAAAGACUUUGUGUUCUUUUCUUAACUCUUCUGUCUUUAAUUGCAUGGGAAAUCCUCGCUCGAGUCCAUUGUGGGGCUCCCAUUUCUCUUUGCAUUUCAAGAGGGAGCCAUAAAGGCUCUAAAUGUCAUUCAUCGAGUCAAUUCGUCAAAAUCGGCGUAUGAAGUCAAAUUUCAAAGUUUAGGAGAUUGAAGAAAUUUGAAGAAGACUAACUAGAAGACUUCUUUAGUUUUUUUUUUAUAUUUUGUGUUUCUUUUGUAAUGGGCCUAAGCCCUUAUGGUUUUAUUUUCUUGUACCUAUUCUUGUAUGUCUAGACUAGGACAGGUACAAAAGAAAGAAAUGGGUCGAAAAUCCAAAAAACAGGCGGAUCCAAAACUUGGUCAAGGCGAACAGAACCUGAGUUUGGACCCAAAUCUCUCUCUCUCACUUUACUAUUUGUUUACGUAUUUUUGCUUAAAUGUCGUUAGCUUAGGAUUAGAAACUCCAAACCCCGUCGAACGCCUUUUAAAUUUUGUCAAACUUAAAAUUAACUUUUUAACGAUAAUUUGUUUCAAAUUUGCAAAGCUUGUUAGAUAAAACCUUAGGAAAGUUUAACUUUGAAAUAGAUUCGCAAAAUUGUGAAAUAAACAAUAAAGAUUGCAAAACUUGUCGACUUGUUUAAAUGAAAUAAAAGUUCAACUUCAAAUUGCAAAAGUUACAAAAAAUAGUCAAAUAAGUUAAUCGCCGGAAAAUCGUAUUUAACGGAGUGUCACCUUCCUAAGACACUAAUAGGAAUCCCGAACUCUUUAACAUUUUCCAAACAAUUUUCCUGUUUUAAAGUUGUUUAGAAAAUAAGUUUUCUUAAUUUUCUCAAAAUUAAGUGGCGACUCCUAAAAAGUCGAAAAUCCUCUGAGAUAAAACAAACUCUUUUCGAAAAUCAUUUUUUUCGAUAAAACAAAAUAAAUUAAAAUGAAUAGAAAGAAAAGUUAAAACAGUGGGAGUACUAAGAAUUGUAUGCGUCUAUAUCUUUUUUUUAUAUCAUUUAACUUAGUGGUACAAGCUUUCUGCCUAUUAUAUAGAACGAGUAAGCGCCAUUUGUUGCAAGAUAUCUUUUUAUAACAAAAUACAAGUUAAUUUUCAGAUUUAAAAAAUAUUUAAGAAGUUUUUGAAAAGGGAGUUACAUGAAUUUUAUUAUUUUAGGAGUUAAUAACUUAGUUACACUUUAGUUUGUAAUAUUAAAUAUUUUAUUAAAUUUUGGUGCCCCAAAGACGUCCAAAUACAUGUUACUUGAGGUCAAAUUUAAGUGUAAUUUGAAAAAAAAAAGAUCGUUGUAACCAAGUGUAUUAGCAUAUAUUUAGGAUACAUAGUAAAUCUCCUUCACCUCUUUCCCAUCUUGCUUGCCACUCUCUCGUAUAUCUAAUAUUCUAGAUACAUGUGAAUCACUCCUGAUAUAUGUACAUAGUUUGAUUCACAUAAUAUAUGUAUAGGAUACAUACAAAUUUCACUUGUUUUUUUUUCUAUUUUUUGUGUAUCACGUAACAAAAAUAUAUAUAUCUCAGUGUAGAAUACAUAAAAAAAAUUUUAAUUAGUGAUAAAAUAUAUAAUAUAUUAAAAAUAUAAAUAAUAAUAAUAUAUAUAAUAAUAAAGUAUGUCUAAUUAGGUAGUUUUUCUUUUUGAAAACUGAAAUGAGAAAAAGCAAAACAUAAAAUUGACUUGAAUGACAGCUACAUGACAUUUUCAUCUUGUAGUAGGGACAUAUGAUUUGUUUUUUUCCUUUGCCACAUGUGUUCUGUUAUCCUUAAUCUCCAAGUAAUCCCAUAUUUUGGUUGAUGAUUCACAAUAUAAUCUAUCUAAUUAUGCACCUCCUUCUACUUAAAGAAGAAAAAUGUGAUGGCGAUUGGCAAUUGGGAAGAUAAUUAAAAUCUGUUGAGUACUCUUUCAUCCGCAAUGGCAUUCAGUCGAUGGAACAAUAGUGAAAGAGAUGUUUAAAAAAAUUAUUUACAUUUAAAAUGAUUUUAGAUUUGACGCAAUCCGAAAAAAUUAGUCUAUAAAAAAAAUUAUUUAAAAUCAUGCAAGAGCUCAAUUAACUUCAUCCGCCUUUGAUGUGAGUUUUUCUACAUUCAUCACGCUUCCCAUCCCCGAACCCCAACACUCUAUACUCCGAUCCAUGACGUGAACAAAUUAUUCAAGCGUUCAAUUUGACUCUAAUAUCAUACUAAAUAAACCUAAUUUAAUAGUAAAAAUUAGCUUAACAAUUUACUAAUUUCACACAAUUUUUUAUAUUGUUGUCUUGUCAUUAUCUUUAGGUAAUAAUAGUGUAAAAAUUAUCUUACACGAUUAUACUACAUAAUUUAUACGAUUCGUUGAUAAAUUGUAUACCAAAGUGCCACCUCAUCACACAAUAAUUUAAUUUGGACUAAGUUCACUAUUAGUGAAUGAAUGAAUUUUAAUUAUAAAUAGAGGACUUGACAAGAUCAUAUUUGUAUCAAACACCAUACACUUUCUAAAUUAUCGAUAGAUUUAUUGUUUCAGAUGGAGGAGGAGAAACACCACCACCACCACCUGUUCCACCACAAGGACAAGGCGGAGGAGGGCCCCGUCGACUACGAAAAAGAAAUCAAACACCAUAAACAUCUCGAGCAAAUCGGUAAACUUGGCACUGUUGCUGCCGGUGCCUACGCCUUGGUACGUUGAUAUAAUCUUACCUUAUAUAUAUAAACGUUAUUAUCGAUUAUUUAUACAAAUCAUUUUCUUUUAUUCAAAUUACGAUCAAAAUCAUUUAAGAGUUUUUCUACCGGGAACAUCCGAUUAGUCAAGAUUUUCAUCGGAGAGUUUGAAUAUAUUGAUUCCUAAUAAAAUGAUUUUAUUUCCUCGAUUCAUGCCAAAAAUCUAUAAUUAAGGACGGAAGAGUAGCCAAUUAUUUAUUUAAUAUAAUUUAAUUCCUUUUUUCCUUUUAAAUUUUUAGUUUAAUUUCAUAAUAUAUGUAAGGAAGGGGUGUGAAAAAUUUAAAGAAGAUAAACAGAGAAGGGAUGGUUUUAUUUGCGAGUAAAAGAGUUUAUUUUCUAUCUAAACACGUUUACACUAAUUUCACAUUAAGUUCACCUAAUUAUAGUAACUCUCUAUCAUCUAUACAAAAAUAGCGUAAUAAUAAAAAUUGUUCUACAACUUCUAACUCUUCAAUUAAAAAAAAACAACAUAUAGAAUAUCGAUGUUGAAAUUACUCAGUACUUCAUUCGUUUCAAAAUAAGUGUUGUUGUUUGUACGACAUGAUCACAACUGAUGAAAAUAUGUCACACGAAUUAGAACAGAGUCUCUGUUAUUAAUUACUUUUUCCCUCUUUUGUUGGUGAUAAUAAACAUAAAACAAAAUUAGCAUGAGAAACAUGAGGCAAAGAAAGAUCCAGAACAUGCACACAAACACAAGAUAGAGGAAGAGAUAGCAGCAGCUGCUGCAGUUGGGGCAGGUGGAUUUGCAUUCCAUGAGCAUCAUGAGAAAAAAGAUGCCAAGAAAGAAGAAAAAAAAGCUGAGGGGGGACACCACCAUCUCUUCUAAAUUGUUAUUUUAGUUACAUUUUUAAUAUUCGUGGAAUUUCCAUAUUUGGUAUAAGUGUUGUGUCAUCUUAUCAUAUAUCGUGCAUAAUAACAAUAAAUUUAGUGUGAUAUUAUAAAUGGAUCGAGUUAAAAAAAAAGAGCAAAAGUCAAAAUAUAUUUUACCAAUCUCGUGUGAUGUAAAGAAGGAUGUAUUGUGAUUUCCAAAAUGAUCAUGUGUGUUUUGGACUUUCCUCGCAAUCUUCUGUUGAAUUACCUUGUAAAAUGUUGCUUUUUUAAGUGGUGUAAUAAAUAAUGAGUUUUCUAGUGAAUGGAUUUGUUUGAUUUCCUAAAUAAUGAUGUUUUUUUUUUUAAUUUCCUCGCAAUUUUAUAUUGAAAAAUUAUUAACUUUUAUAUACUUAAUUUACUAUAAUGAGUCGAUUACUUUAUUUUUUAGAUAAUUAAUUUAAUUAGAUACUUAUAAUUUUAUUUUAUAAAUUAUUUGACUCAUAGUAAAAAAGUUAGAUUGAGCCAGUGUCAGUUGGUUCCAAAAAAAUAUCCCGAAAAUAUGACGAUUUGAUCAUUCGCUUUGAUUAAAAAAUAAUUCUAGAACUAUAAUUUUUAUAAUUUCAAUGUUAUCAUAUGAUUUUGAAAAAAUUAUUUCACCUAUUUUUUCCCUACGAAUCAAACUUAGAUCCAUCUAACUAAAAAAUUAUCCCUUUCUAUUUAGAUUCGAUCCAAACUCAUUUUAUGAUUGAGUAGAAGAGGAAUUGAGCUUAUUUUUGUGGAUCGAAUUUUGCAGGUGUAAAAAAGGGGUGUGAUAAGGAAAAAUUAUGAGGUUAAGCAAAUUUAUACUAUUUAAUUAUUCAUCAUAGCUAUAGUUUGCUAUAAUUACCACUCACGACUAACAUUAUACAUUAAUUAUGUGAGCUGACUUCGAGUUUAUAUAAUUAGUCACAUUUGUAUAUGUAUAAUUCACCAGAAUAUACAAAUACAUAUGUAUAAUAUACAAUUAUCUUAUCGAUAUACAUAUACAAUUCACCUAUCUCCCACUCUCUGCCCUCUCUCGCUCGCCUCUCUCCUCUCUCUCCCAAUCUCGCUUGUCAUAUAUACAAAUGCAUAUGUAUAAUAUACAAUUAUCUAACCGAUAUACACAUACAAUUCACCUCUCUCCCACUUUAUGCCUCUCUCGCUUGCCCCUCUCCUCCCUCUCCCAAUCUCGCUUCUCCUCUCUCCUCUCUCUCCCAAUCUCUCUUGCCAUAUAUACAAAUGCAUAUGUAUAAUAUACAAUUAUCUAACCGAUAUACAUAUACAAUUCACCUCUAUCCCACUUUUUGCUCUCUCUCUCUCCUCUCUCUCCCAGUCUCGCUAGCCUCUCUCCUCUCUAUAACAUAUAGAUACGAAUUGUAAUUAUCAAACUAUAUCUAAAUAGAGUAAUUACGCUAUUUUUGAGUAGCUAUAUGUGAGUUUCCUAUUUUAAAGUCACUUAAUAAUUUCAAUACAUAAAUAUUUAUCAACGAAAAGAAUAAAUAUACAUUAUUUGUUAGAUUAUGAAUUAAUAUAUGCACCAAUUCAUUAUAUGAGGAUUGUGAUCCACUUUAAAUUGGAGGUAUAUUUAUCCCUUCCCCUGAACAAUAUAUAAUUAACGAAAAAAUUCACAGCUAAUUAACUUUGAACUUCUAAUUGAGAUAUUUGGGAUAGUUGAAAUUCGGAAAUGCUAGUAUAUUUUUAAUUCAUCACCAAUAAUGACUUGUUCAAAAUAAUCAUCCAACAACUAAUUAACUUCUUUUUUCUUAAAAACAACACCUUUAGUAUUUUUGGAUAAGAAGAGAGGAAUUCAAAGUAAUUGAUACAAAUGAAUUAAGCUAAUUAUUUUUUAAAUUAUAUCUAAAUCAUUCGGAUUCAAAUAUCUACUAAAUGAAAACAAAUCAGGACUAGAUAAUGACCAAAGGGUCAUGUGAGGCAUUAAACAAAAUGACUAGUGAAUUAUAAUUGUCUUAAUUAUUCUAGAUUACUAAGGUUGAGAUUAGUUAAGAGUUAAGAUAAUACCAUAUAAUUCAAGUUAUUUUUCGACGUUAAGAAGCAUGGUGCCAACUGCCAUGUAUAUAAUGCAUCUACUCAAAACUAAUAACUACUUAUUGUAUGUCAUUUAUUGUUCCAACUUACCGCAUGGGGUGCCAAAUAUCAAGAUUUUAAAUUCGAAUAUUGAAUGUAUAUAAAAAAUCAAGAUAUGAAAUAGUUCUCUCUUCGAUGGAUUUUAUAUCAUAUAAUUAAUUAAAGCCGGAGGAAAUUAAAUUCAGCAGAUCACACAAAGAAACUUUAUAAAUUAUGUCAAUUUUGCAAUUCAUCGAGUUAUUUAGCUUGUGUUAUGAGAGGAAGUAAAUUAUGUGGCUUAAUCACACGACUUAAUGAAAAAGUAUUACCCCCUUCCUUUCAAUUGUUUUUAUGAUGUUAAUUUGAUAUAGAGUUUUAAAAGAAAUAAAGAAGAUUGAUUAAUUUUAAAUUAAAAAAUGUUACAUAUAACAAAAUAUUUUUUAAUUAUUAUUAUCUUGAUAUAAACAAGUCACAUAGAAAUUGAAAUUAAAAUAUUAUUAAAAUAAAAGUAUUUUUAUGUUUUUCUAAAUGAACUAAAAACUUAAGGAAAAGUAAAGACUUAUAAAUUGAAAUGAAUUUUAGCCUCCUCAGAUCUGUUUGCUAUCGAAAAAAAUAUUUUUUAAUUUUUUUAUGUUUGGUACUUUUUUUAGAAAAACAAACUUCGUAAAAAUAAAGAAAAUAAUUUCUUUAAUAGAAAAAAAAAAAAGCUACAUGAAUGACAUUAUAAGUUCAUUAUCUCUUUUCCACCCACUCAUAAAUCCCCUGAUCCCAAGCCCGUUAACCAUCCCAUAUCACUAUAAUUUGUAGAUAUAUUAAGCUUAUAGUGAUUUAUCAUAAAAUGAAUGGUUACCUUGUUCCAUAAUUUUUAUCAUAACUUUUUUAUAUUUAUAAAAAAUAAUUAAAAAAAAAACUUGCCGACACGUCCUAAUAUUAAUAGGGCCAUGAUGACAAAAGGCUCAAUUUAAUAAUUCAAAGGAUCAUUUGACUCAUCUGCUAAAGUGAGGUAAAUUUUUAUAUUCUUUCCUUCUUCGAAUUAUUUGACACGUAUGUUAAAAAUAAAUGUCGAAGAUUAAUAUUUAAUUUAAAUCAUUAAAAGUAAUUAAUUUAUUUUUUCAAUUCUAAUUUUCUUUUUGGCAAUAAAAUGUGAAUAUUACUAUAUAACCUCAACAACUCAACAAUUUUUAUAAUCCUAAUCUUAAUAAUUACUUCAUUUUAUUCAAUUAAAAAAAUUAUACAGACUUUUGAUAUUCUUUCCUAUAACGAAAAUAUAAAAUUAUAUUAAUUAAAUUAUACUUUAUAUUAAUUUUUUCUUGAAGGAAAUACAAGAUCUUAUUCUAAUAAACAAUUAUGAACGGAGUAAUAUAUAUAAUAUGAGAUUCUUGUGAUUCAUUUCACAUCAAAAUCCCCACCUCACUAAUUGUCGACACUCAUUAAUAAAUAUCUAGCUCCAUCCAAUUAAACUAAUCUUUAUGCGGAUUCCACACGGGAUAUUCUUUCACUUCUUUAUCCUAAUUAAUAUUUUAAAAAUUCGUAAUCUUAAAUAAAAUAUAAAUAUUUAAAUAAUUAUAAAUUAUUUAUUAAAUAUAAUAUAUCAUUUUUAAUGACAUUUAUCCAAUGACAGAAAAUAAAAAUAAAAUAGAAAUCAGAAAUACCAAAUAUCAAUAUUAUAUUAUAUUUAGUGCCGAUAAUAUAACAUGAGUAUUUAUAAUCAAUAAUCUAUAUAAAUACUACUAGAAAUUAUAAUGACUCGGAAUACAAUAAUAGUAACUCAAUUAUUAUUAAAUAUUUUAAAUAAAAUUAUCUCAAAAAAUUAUUGCCAUCAAAUGUCUCUUUUGAUACGGUAAAAGGAUUAUUAGGUAGGUUUCUCCUGUAUCUGAAUUUGGAAAAUAUUGUAAAGGUAGCGAUAUACAGAAGGGGCAAUUUGGUGUGAUAUAAUAAUUCAUACAAUUUUUAUCAAACAUUUCUUCAUCAAAACUUUGACAUUUUUCCCUUAAUUUCUGAAAUUUUUAAAAUAGUUUUAUUUUUAAUUAGUAAUUUAUUGUUCAAAACUUCAAAUUAAACCAUCAAAAUAUGCCUACCAUUAAAGUACUAAAUUAUUUUAUUUAUAUUUAUAUUUUUUUGGAGUAGGGACUUAGCUUUGGUUUACCGACAUGAAUUGUGGUAAGAUUGUUGGAAUUUUCUUAUUUCCAGUUAAGGGUUUCAAAUUAAUCUUUAGCUAUGAAUUGAAACUGUUGCCUUCAAAUAAAAUUUGAAAAUACAUAAAAUUAAAUUAAUUAAAUUUUAAUAUAAAUAUGAAAUAUUAGACGGAAAAAAAAAGUUGUGGGUGGAGAAGAGGAUUGGGCUUUUCGCUUUAGAAUGGCAGUUAGACGGACAAAGACAAUAAACCAACAAAUUAAAGACUAGCAUACAAAUAAACUAUUCCAUUAAAAAGCUUUUGCCGACACUCCUCAAAAUAAUCAUAAUGCCGACGCUAUCACUAUUUUAACGAAUCGUGUCAGGUGAGAUAUAAGGUAAAAUAAUUUUGGGGAUAGAAUGUGAGUAUUAGUAAAUUUUGUGUUUGAUUGGAGAUAUUACAGAGUUCUGAUUUGUUUAUCUCACCAUUUAUACUUUAGUGAUGGAAUAAAUUAUCUCAUAUACCUGGUGAAAUAACUUAUCUCAGAAUAAUCAAUUCGAAAUAACAUUUUUCCAAUCAAACGAUCCCAAAUUUCUUUGUAUGGUUAAGAGAAAUAACUACUAUCUAACAAGCAUUUCAUGUGGGGAGUGGUUGGGGAUUAAUUAGGGUUCAAAAUAUUCAACAUGUCCAGGUGUGAUUUCCAACUUUUUCUUGGUGCUUUUAAUAGGAUCUUAAAUAUUCAUAUAACGUGACAUUGUUUGAAAGAUUAACAAAUUCUUAUGUUUCUCUUUCUUUUCUUUUUUUCUUUUAGUAACAGUAAUGUUCAAUUAAUUAACGUUAUGACAAAGACUAUCUGAAAUUUGAAUAAAAAUAAUUGAUAAAACUCACACUUGAUCAAAGCAUAUAGUAAACGCGUAUUGAUGUGAUAAUUUACGGCCAACAUGAGAGUAGGAGUACUGUGGGGGACAUUAUCCUAUAUUUUCAUUUAAAUGACUUGUAUUUCAAACCAUAGUAAUCCUAACACAUCUUUCAUCCCCAAAAAUAUCUCUUCGACUUAAAAUUAGGGGAUUUUGGCUUUUCAGUUGAACAUCGAAAAGCACAUUUGGUCGUAUGAAAAUUGAAAUUAAAUACUCCCUCCAUUCUAACUUACGUGACACCAUUUGAUCCAUUGGCACAUAGUUUAAGACGAAAUGAAAAAAGAAAAAUAUGUUAUGUCAAUAAUUUUUAUUCACCAAGCAACAUUUGAACACAUAAUUUCUUUUUUAAAAAAUGAAUUAAAAAGAUUAACAAAACAAACAAAUUAAAAUCAAAGUAUAUCAUAUAUAUAUAUAUAUAUAUAUAUAUAUAUAUAUAUAUAUAUAUAUAUAUAUAUAGUUAGAAACGUUAAUUAGGGGGGGAAACAAAAGUAAAGUUAGUUCACAUUAAACAAACAAAAUGAAUAAAGCAAGUCAUACAUCAUAUCAGCUGUGCUGAUUUUAACAAUUGAAUUAAGCUUAGGUCCAUUAUUUUUGCCACUUGGAUUGAAAAUCUUCCAUCAUGGAAAAUAUAAAUCAUGAAUAUUGGAUAAGAACUUGUACACGUUCAUUGGACAAACUAAUUAGUUAGUCCCCACUUCACCUCCUAUAGGCCAAAUACUUAUAAAUACCAUUCAAUAUUCACAAGAAAAAAACAUCCCAAAGUAUUUUGUUCUACUACUACAUUUUUUUCAUACACAAUUGUCACCAAAAAACAUCAUGGCUGAAGAAAAGAAACAUCACUUUGGUGGUCUCUUUAACCACCACAAGAACAAAGAGGAAGACACCCCCAUUGAGAAAACUACAUAUGAAGAAACAACCUAUGAAGACAGUGAAAAAACUAGCACUUAUGGAGACAACACAUAUGGUGAAAAAACUAGUUAUGGUGAUGAUACAUAUGGCAAAAAAACUACCACAUAUGGAGAUGACAACAAAUAUAGUGAGAAAACUAGUUAUGGUGAUGAUACAUAUGACGAAAAAACUAACACAUAUGGAGAUGAAAACAAAUAUGGUGAGAAAACUAGUUACAGUGAGGGAGAUGACAACAAAUAUGGUGAGAAAACUAGUUAUGGUGGUGAUACAUAUGGCGAAAAACCUACCUCCUACGGAGGAGAUAAUACAUAUGGUGAGAAAACAAGUUAUGGUGGGGGAGAUGAAAACAAGUAUGGUGAGAAAACUAGUUAUGGAGAGAAAGCUAGUUAUGGUGGAGGAGAUGACAACAAAUAUGGUGAGAAAACAAGUUAUGGUAAUGAGGAAGGUGGCUAUGGUGGAGGAGUUGGUGCCUACUCAUCUGAGACUACUACUAAUUAUGAAGAGAAUGAUGAUAGUGGAACCAAAACUUCUGAGGAUUACAAGGAAGAGAAGAAACAUCACAAGCAUCUUGAAGAACUUGGGGGACUUGGAGCUGUUGCUGCUGGUGCCUUUGCUUUGGUAAAUAUUCUUUAAUUCUAACUUUCCACGUGACAAUGCAUAUGUAUGAGAUUACAAGAUUAAAUGACAUUUUCCUACGUUAAUCUUCGAUAUGGUAUAUGAAAAUUUCAGCAUGAGAAGCACAAGGCAGAGAAAGAUCCAGAGCAUGCACACAAGCACAAGAUAGAGGAAGAGAUAGCCGCAGUAGCUGCAGUUGGUGCUGGUGGAUUUGCAUUCCAUGAACAUCAUCAGAAGAAAGAAGCAAAAGAAGAAGAGGAGGAAGCUGAGGGAAAGAAGAAGCAUCAUUUCUUCUAAUGAAUUCUCUUGUCAUAACAUAUAGUAUUUGUUGUGUGCUGAUCAAUCUAUCCUUUAAUUAAUACGUACUCAGCAUGCACCUAAAUAAUUUGUAUGUGUGUUACACUACUCUUGUCUUUGAUGUUGUGCACCUACUUUAAUUUGCAUGAGUGUGAAUAAUAUUACGUAUAUUGUUUUUCUUAAAGUUGACUCUCGUGUAUGAAUGGUUUCCGUACGUAAGCACAUUUUUUCUUUGUGUUCUAUAUUUAAGC